AGAAAUGUAAAUGUGUGAAUUAGGGUUUACGAAGGUUUGGCAAUAAAUGAAGAAGACGAAGUGCUGCAGAGCCGAAAAAAGCCCGAGGCCGAGCGCUUCCCUCUUGAGUUAGGGGUGGCGUGGUAUUCCACAGGGAGAGGUUUUUUCAAAUUGUGGCGCACUCUCAGUUGCGUUGGGCUUAAUAUUAUCACUUUCCAGUGAGGGCUUCCAUGGCCGCUUUACUGCUCUAGCUUUUGCAGUCAAAGCGAGGGGUUUCGCCCUACAUUCAAAUUCUUCUUUUUCCCUUUUUCUUUUUCCAAAUUUCUUUGUUCUUAUCUUUCAUCAUUCGCUUUCUUAUUGUAAUUUUGACCACUUGCUCAUGAAUUCAUUUUUUAAUUAUGUUUUUUUUGGGUAGAAUGUAUAUUUUGUUUUUAUUAAUCGGCGGAGUAUGAUAAAUUGAAAUUGGCAUUUAUAUAUUUAUAUGUUUUCGGGUUUUCAUUCAGAUGAUGAGAACGAUGCAGGAAAGUUAAAACCACGUUUUUCAAAAAAGAAAAAAAAUAAUUGAUCAAUUGCAUCCGACGGGUAUUUUUUUUGCAUUCAACUUGUCUGAAAAUUUCAAAUAAAUGUAUGUAUAUCUCUAGAAGCUUCUUCUUUUCUGCUUCCUUUACGCUUGUUUUUUUGUUGUCGGGUUUGCAAAUGGUCAAUCUGAGCUCCGUUGUGGACGCAGGUCUUGGAACUGCUGCUGCUAAAGUGUGGUUGUUAUGUACGUCUAUCAUCUGACUAUUGCACAGGAUAAUGCUCGGAUCACUUAUCUGGAAUUAAGAACAGAAGUUUUUUCAAUUGUUGAUUGAUCAGAUAAAUGAAAAGAGUUUUUUUAAGUGGGGUUGGACUUAGAAUCUCCCCCUUAUUUUUACCUUUCUCAAACCUGGAUUUUCGAGCCACUCGUCGGAUAUGACUUUCAUUUCUUUGAAGGAGUUCGUCUAUUCUAUGGGGUUGUGUUAACAGCGGUCCUGAGAAUUCAAUGUGUGAUUCUGUAUCAUCGUUUUCCUGUUCAUUUAUGGGAGAACAAUAUCAAUUGGACUAGUCUAGAAAAGAAGUUAUUGUUGUGUAAGUGAGUGGAGGGAUGCUUACGAGGUUUGCUGCGGUGUUGGAUGGUGGUUUUGGAUAUAGUUCAUUGGACAUAUCCAAGAAUGGGUAUGCUUCGGAUGCAUCAAAAGACUCGGGGAAAUUGUGUUUUCUUCUAUGGUUCUUUCGUAAUUCGUAUUCCUGCGUGCCUGAACUGACUGGAAUGUGUGUGUGUCCAUUCUGUUUUUUUGUUAAUUCAAAGGUGUAAUUUGCAAAGGAUGGAUCCAGAGAACUUAUUUGGCUCUUAAGACCAUCUGAUACUGUAGAUGUAGCUUCCUCUUUUCGCUUCUUUACCCAAGCAAAGCCACUAGAUGCUGAGACUGGUAUUGGGGCUGUGAAUGCGCUAUCUCCUCGCUGAUUUGGUGCUGUUGCAGCCUGGGAUUCUGAUGUUGUAUCAAAUAGUUGCUUCUGAGGAUCUCUUUGGAAAACGUCACCUUGUUCUUUGCAAAGAUUGGCAGUACUGCUGCCAUUCCGUCGAGAAGGUUGAAUGUUUUCUUCUGCUUCCUGUGGAGGGAAGAUUUCCAUAAAAGUUGGUAAUAGUUUUUGAAAGGAGAGUAAUGUGGUAAGGAAGAAUGGGUUAAGAAGGAGAAACCUCUUUGAUUGGCACUUUAUGACUGUUCAAUUCUUGGAAAUUCCUUCUAACUCUUCUAGGCCUUUGUGUGACCCCUGACUCUUUUACUCUUGCAUUAGCCCUCUUCCUGCAGGUAUUCGAUAGGUAUAGUUCUUCAGAAUAUAUCGAAGAAACUGGAUUUUGCAGCCAAGUUGGAGAAAAAGAGAGUGAAAGUUUCACCUUCGCGCAUCUUCACGAUUUUUGGCAUCCAUUUCUUUAUUUGGUGGAUACUUGGGCAAGGUAGAUGGAUCACAAGCAUAUGGCUUCGUUUUGAAAUACUGGAAAGGAAGGCAAAUCAUUAACCCAAAAACAUUUGAGACUUUGAGUUAUAGUUGUCAGGAUAGCAAUCAUGUUUGAGAGUAAGUCGAAAUGUUCUCAAUCAAAAGUGAUUUACUUAUAAUUUCCAUUCUUCUAAAAUAAGUUUUGUUAAAAAUUUGGGGAGACUCAAACUAAGCUAGAUGGUUUGUUCCACUUUUUAAAGUAGACAUGAGUUUAUUCAACUGUAUCCGACCCAUAAGCUACGCGGACAUGCCUGACGGAUUACAAUGUUAUUUUUUUCAAAUGCUAAAUUAUCAUGAUUGUUAUAAACAGUGACAGAACACUUUGGUAUUUGUGAAGUUGAAUAUGAAGGGGCAAGAGCUACCUCAGACAUGAGAGCAGAUGAGGCUGUUCCACGCUUGUAAGGUUCUAUGGCAAGAAAAGAUUCUAAUAGGCUCAAUGCGGUUGGUGCAAAUUCUUUACACUUUUCACUAAGAGAACUUUCAUAUGCAUGUUGGGGUUUGAACAUAGCUGCAUGAGGAAGCUUUGUUUUUUUCCAGAACUCUUCAGGUGGGGAGCCGCAAAGUUUGAAUAUUUUGUGCAAUUGUUCAACCUGUUUCGUUUUUUUCCAUUCGUGUCAGAUCAAACACUAAGCAACAAUCAAUAAGACAAAGGCUUCUAUUGGAAACCCCCAUCAAUAUUACCUCGGUUCUUCCUUUAAGAAGUGGUUUCCCCAGGUGCAAUUCUGCAAAUACACAUCCUAUACUCCAGAGGUCCACUGUUAAUCCGUAAUCUGUUGAACCCAUCAGAAGCUCAGGUGGGCGGUACCAUAAUGUCACCACUCGACUUGUUAGCGCUUGCUUGUUUCUCGAGUUUAUGACAUUUGCUAAUCCAAAAUCUGCUAACUUCAGAACUCCUUCAUUGUUUACCAAAAUAUUGGAUGCCUUAAUGUCUCUAUGCAUUAUACCCCGAAGGUGGCAAUGCUCAAUUGCAGAUAGCAGCUGUCUCAUAUAACACUUUAUCUGAAAAAGAGAACACAAUAGUUUCUUACAUAUAUAAAAACCACAGACCCAAUGGAAGAGGAAAUGAGAUUGUUUUUUUAUUAACACUUUGCCAACGCUAUUGAUUGUGCACGUUAAAUCAGUGGAUGAAAUACCAACCUGUGCCUCACUGAACUUGAUAUUAGGAGAAGACACUAGCCCUGCAAGAUCGUGAUCCAUGUAUUCAAAUACAAGGUAAAUGCUGCUAGACAUUUUUGAAGUAAUUAUUCCUUCUAACUGCAUGAUGUUUGGAUGUUCAAGCCGGCGCAAAAUCAUAAUUUCCCUUGCCAUAAAUCUAAUGCUCUCCGGUUGAAAAUUGUCAAAACGAACCUUCUUCAAGGCAACCAUCUUUCCUGACUCAACUUCUCGAGCACGAAACACACUGCUGUAUGUUCCUUGGCCAAUCUAAUUCAAAAACAAAAUUGUUUGAUCUUUCUGAGUAAUGUGUACAUAGAUGCACAUCAAACAUUCAAGAGGAUGAUGCAUUACACAGGCCAUUGCCAAUAACAAGAUUUAUAGACCUUCAGAACAUACAAAGAACAGAACUUGAUCUAAUGCUCCAAGAGACAUGUUUGGGGUUCGAUUAAUUCAAAUAUUGGGGCAGAAAACUUGAACAUAUUCAUCUAAGAUAGCAUUUGCUAAAUGCUGUCUUCACCGAAUGUGUUGUUCUAAGUUCUUGUAACUCAAAGCCAUAUAUGAAUGUCAUAAAGACCAUUUUAACAACUGCACAGAAAGACUCUUAACGCAAUGUGGUUGGUUAAUCACUCUGUUUUUCAUAUGAACCUGCGUUAGAUUAUUAGAAUCAAUCUCUUGGGAGUAGGCCCUUCUUUGUAGUUUUUUAAGGUAAUGUUCUAUUUAUUCUAGAAGGAAUGAGAUGGUUCAUUAAUGAUAUAUCUUAAUGAUAGAUCGGAUUGAACUUUAAUUGAAUCAAAGCUCUGAUUGUAUUUCUUUUUUUCGUCAGGACAAACGAAGAAAUCACGAGUGUCAUAAUUCGUACCUUCUCCAACUUCUCGAAGGAAUCAGCUCGAAGAGGAACCCAUCCAUGUACGGCCUCACCGGCAGCACUACUAAGCCAAGAGGGCCAGCCGGCGGCAACCUGCUCAGCUUCAACGUAGCGUUGCGAAAACCCUAAUCUGAAAGAACCCCCCUUCCCUCCUUUAGAUUUCUUAAUAUCUCGACUUCGAUCCUCCGAUAUGUCCUCCCCUUUCUUCUCAUAAUCAAGCGUCGUCACCGAAUGAGCUUUGGAUGAAGGCGGCAGGGUCACAACAGAACCAUUCUCGGCGGCAACGGUGGCGGUUGUAGUGGUGGUCGGUUUAUUGGGCUUUGUCCGAUGAUGAUGAUGGUUAUAAACGGGUGAUGCCGCCGCCUUUGCUACGUUCUUGGAGCUAAUGCAACCCAUGAACCACCAAAGUCCGACAGCAUCGAUCGGAGAAACGACACAAGGGCGAUCAAGAUCAACCCUGAUCAAUGGGCUGCUCAGCACAAAGGGGAAGAGAGGGAGAUCGAACCCCCCCUACAUCCAACGGCAACUCAACAGGGUUUGCUGGAUUAUUUGAGGAUGGAAAAAAAGAAGGGAAAAUGGAUUGAACCCAUCGGAAAUAAGAGCCAUUUUUGGGUUAACUUGUUGGUUGGCAACACAAUGACCUCGUGUUCUUCAUACUGCGAGAUCUGCAGUAUGAAGAAUUGGCCAAAUAGUUUCUUUCUUUUGUGAGAAACGGUCCGAAAGCAGAGGAACGAAAAGAAAGAGAAACAUUGUGGGUCCUAACUGCCUUCUUCUUCCUUUUCUCUGCUUUUUUUGUAAUCUAUACCGUUUUUAAUUUCAUCUUUUCUUUUUCUUUCUUUCUAUUUUAUCUUUGCUUUCCCUUCAUUUCACUGAUUCCGCCAUUAGAGCACUGUACCAGAACCUUUGAGUGUCAGUUCCUUCGGGAAAUUUUGUAGCAAUAACAACCCUCAAAAGUUUAUAUCUUUCACAAUUAGCACUUUGGAAAUCCUUUGAAAUUGUUCUGAUCUUUUCUGGUUUAGAUUUUAAUGAAGGAUUAGUUUUUCUCAGUGUUAUUAUUCAUGGUUUUGGGUUCUCACAAACGAUCAAAAGUUUUCGUACCAUCUUUUUUACUUUGGAAAAUUUGUUGGGUAAUUUUUUCGAUCUUUUCUGGUUGAGAUUUAAAUAUAAAAAAAAUUCUCCAUUUCAUCUCGCAUUCAAACUAUCAAUAUUUUUACGCUUUCUCGGUGAAAUCUUAUUGGGAUAAGAACUCCACCAAGAAAACCAAUCGAUAUCAGAUGAAAAUCUUAGUUCUUUUUUUUAUUGAAUUCUUGAGAGUUGGUCUACAAAUAAUCAAGAAUAAGUAUUUCAAUGAUUUUUUAUUAAAAAAAAGACACUAUUUUAAAGUCACUUCUACAAUUUUCUUAACUCCAAUCAAUCAAAAGUUUAGUCUUUCACUAAUUUCCCAUGUGGGGUUUUGUAUUUGGAACAGAAAAAGAAAAGAGCAUGAUAUCCAAAGACAAAACUCUUCUUUCGGCUCAUCAUUUCUCUCUUCUUUUUCCUUUCUCUCUUUGCUUUUUUCCUCAUUAGUUUCACUCAUUCCUCUCUUUUCAUUCUUCACUUAAUCAUUACAAUCAUCCCUUAUUCCUACAUUUUACUUUCUUUCAACUAUCUUUCUCAUUGCUUUCACAACCAUUGCUUACAUUUUUGUUGAAUAUGAAUAUGCUUUAGGUUAAAAACCAUGAGAGCAUUCUGGAAAGUAUUAUAGUUGAUUGUUUGGAAGGUAGAUUGUUUUAGUAUUCCACUGUUUUUAUUUUGAUAAGAAAAAAUAAAUAGUAAAAAUUAUAGUAAAGGAAGGUUUUGAAACGUGUUGAUGAUAGCUAAUUGAAAUUUUUUUAAAUCUUUACUAUAGUGAUGUAUGGCUGUUAUAGUCUUAAGAUAGUUUGUAUAUGUAUACAUGUUUAUUAUAUAUUCACUCCAAAUUCUAUUUUUAAAAGAAAGAAAUUGAAAUUGUUGCAAGCAAUGAGUUGUGUGUGUUAGUGAGUGGUUGUGAUAUCAAGUCAUGUUGGAGAUCAAUCUCAAUCAUUCAAUGGACCAAACUAAACAUACUAAGGAUUGCUAACACUACACAUCCAUGCAUAAAAUCUCUUAAAUGUAUUCUUGUCCCCCUUAUCUCAUACUUAAAGUUGAAUUUAUUACGACUUUAAUCAUUCAAUCUUUAUGUUUUUGUCUAAUGAGUCCACUUCGAUGAAUAAAUAUAAAUAAUUAUUUCAUGUUUGAAACUUCUAUUUCUGUGUCUAGUAAGUCUGAAUUUUAGAACUAUUCAGUAAAUCUUUCGUUUUUGAUUCUAUGUUUAACAAACGGAAAAUAAGUCUGAAUUUUAGAACUAUUCAGUAAAUCUUUCGUUUUUGAUUCUAUGUUUAACAAACGGAAAAUAACUCGCUCAUUUAUUGCAUCGAAAUUAAAAUUUGUGUAUUAAAAUAUUAACUUUCAAUUACAUGUAUAAGCCAAAAAUAUGUUAAAAACUAAAAUAGUCUAAAAAUUUAUUAGACAUUUUUUAAGUUUUAGAACGGAUGAAAUAUCGACAAAGUUCAAAUUUUAUUAUCCUUUCAAAACUUAUUAAGCUUUUAAAAAGACUACGAGUUCAUCUAUUAAUGAUUUCAUUUCGGUUUUUGAAAAUCAAGUUUCUAGCUCUACUUUCCCUUAUCGAUGCAUAUAUUUUGCAUUUUACUUUCUAACAAUAUUGUAAAAAAGCUAGCGUGGUUUGAAAUCUAGAAAAAAGAAAUAGUUUUUUAAAACUAUUUUUUUUUCAACUUAUAACUCGAAUGUUUACAAGUAAAGUGAAUGAUGGUAAGGAAAUCAGAAAGAAAACAAUUAUAAACUUAAAAAACAAGUAACUAAAAAAAGAUGGUUACUAAACCUAAUCUAAACUCGUAAUUUAAGCUAGCUUGAACUAUGUAUCGAAUAGGCAAUGCUUUUAUACAUAGGACGUUCACUUUUAGAAGGAGGUAUACAUUAUCAUGUCAAAUACUUCAUCAUCAAAGUCUCUUCAAUCUAAUACUAAUUAUUUGUUUUAGUACAAUAAUUGACUACAUAGUGGUGGAUCAAACAUUCAACCUUUUUGUAGAAAUAUUUUGUCGAUUACCGUUGAGAUAAAAUACUUUUUUUUUUCUUUUACGAAAUAAGAUAUCACAUUGAUUCUUGAGUUGAAGGGGUCUUAAUGUUUGGUGAAAGAGAUCAAUCUAUCUAUAGUAAUACAACCAUACUACUUCUUAAGAAGACAUUUUGUAACAUAAACAUUUGGCAAAUGACAUGCAUAAUUUACAAACAAAUCAUAAUUAUCUUUAAGAAUAAGAUCCAUUCUUUCUUUCUUUUUCUUUCUUUUUCUUUCUAGAAAAAAAAUUCUAAAAGUAUCCUUUGGGUGAGACUAUAAAGAUUUAAUUUUGAUAGAAACAAUCAAUAUAGGUAAAAAGAAUGAAGUUGAAACAUUUAAAAUAAUAAGAUCAAUUUGGAGGAAAAACAAACGUCUAAUUUGGUAACUGUUUUAUUUUUUUGUUUUCUUUUUCUUUUCCUAUACUAUACUUAUUUCGUUUAAAUUUCUUACGAUCAUCAUCUUAUUUAAGUAUAAGAUAUAUAUUCUUAGUCAAAUUAAAAAAAAUAAAAGUUAGCUUUCAAAAUUUUUAUAACAUUAUUAAAAAAGUUAGUUGCAAAUAUAACAAUUAUAUUUUUUUUUUGGAUAUAUAGCAAAAUCCGUAAAAGUCUAUUAAUGAUAUAAAUCUAUAGUUGAUAAAACUGAUAGACCAUAAGAGUUUAUCAGUGAUAGAAGUCUAUCAUCGAUAGAUUUUACUAUAUUUGCAAGUUUUUAAAAAUGUUAUACUUAAUUAUUAUACCUAAAAUUGUCACCAAUUGUAAUUACUCUUUGUGAAAGGUAGAUGAAAAAACCAACAAACAAACUCGUUUUUCUUUCUUUGAAAUCAGUUAAGAAUUCGACUAUUCUUCUUUAAAAAAUACAAAGUAAUAUAAAAAUGGAAAAAAAAAAAAAGUCUUUAACUUACAAACAUAGAAAAUAAAAACCAAAAACCAAAAUGAUUACAAAACAAAGUAUUCUAAUUGAUUUAUUAAACAAAGUCUACAAAAUAGAGAUUAAAGUAAAUAUUUAGGUUACUAGUAGGGAUCUUAGAUCACUUAAUAUUGAUAAAAAUUCGAAGACCAAGAAAGAAGCAGACAAAUAUUCAAAAAAUAAAAGCAGAGAAGAUGGCAAACUCUCCUUUGUUGUUUUUAUUAGUAUUAUUGUUUGAAAUAAUGUGCUUAUUGUAAGUAAUCCACCAACCUAUCUAACUAUACUUUGUUGGUUUGGAGUGGAAAAUUGUUAGACCCCUUUGAUGGAAGGUUGUUUUCUUUACAAGCAAACUUCCAAAUUUUGAUAAGACACCAAGAUAGUGGGUCCUUAAUUCAUUACUUACAAACUAAUGAGCUUUACAAAUCAAUAGCUAAUUUGUUCCUAAUGUAUAGUUAGUUAUAAUUAAAUUAGAAACCCGAUCUAUAACACGGGGCAUUACAGACUUGCCUCCUUUAAAGACUUUCGUCCCGACUAAAAACUAGGUAACGUUAAGAUUUGCAGGGUGUAAGGUGGAUUGAUGAAAAAUAUCCAAAGUAGAACAGACAAGGCAACCAUUCUCAAGCAAAUCAGGUACUCUUUCUGAUGUAAAGAUUGGAAAAGGAAAUAAUAACAGAAAAAUGUGAUGAUGAAACAUAAAGUAAGAAGCAAAAUGUAACAAUGGCCCACUUUAAAUCCAACUUUUUUUUCAUUGUCUUUUCACAAACAAAUGCAGAGAUGUAUAUAGCAUAGCAUCUUCCCAAUGGAACUGUGUCAACUACCCAUCUUGAUCAAUGAUAAUAAUAAAAAAAAAAACAAUAUAAAGAUUGUCAACUUUAUACACACAACUACAAUUUGUACAGUUCAUAUUUUGGUAUAAACUGAAUGAACAACUACAAAAUAAUGAGAUUAUACAGUACAUAACAAUGUCUAGUUUGAAUUUUUUUGAAAGUCACACUACACAACAGGUUUCUAAGAUUAUAGGGAAGGUUACCCCACUUCCUCUACUUUGUAGAAUGCAGUUUAUAUUAUACUCUUCACCUCAGCUGCAAUGGUGAAAUGGGCUCAGGAAGCAGAGAUAUAAACAAGUAAUAACAUUAUUUGUGAUCACAUAAUAUCAGUAUGACUGACCUCCUUGUAUCUCCCUUAGCAUCAGCAUGAUUGAAAAUAGUUUUGGGAUGUAAAUUGUAGAAGGCAUAAGGCAAAUGGAGCUCUUUUGACUCAAAACACAAACAUAGACUAUAAGAUUUGAAUUCUAUGUGACUGGCAGGUUUUUUUUUUUUUCCUUUUCUGUAACCGGUUAGUCAUUUGAAAUGAAACUACUGACCUUCUGGUUGCACGAAAGAUAUUGUUGUAGUACUUUACACAGUGAUUUGUUCUUCUUUAAGCUGCAAAACGGCAGGUCUCUGGUCAUUAGUUCCAAAUUCCAUCUCUUUAAGUAAUGGAUGUUUCUGAGCUACAACUUUGAGUGGUUUGAUAUGGUGGACAGUGUUGUUGACAGUGUGGUGGCUGCUGUUUCUGGCUGCAGGAACAUCAUGGUUAUGUUUCCCUUCGUACGUAGUUACAACAGCUUUCGAGUCUGUUGAAGACCUCUCAACAUGCUUUCGGACAUUGCACCCAGCACUAGUGCAUUUGUAGUAGCUCCUGUUGAUAGGAAUGUGUCAGAAGAAGUGAGCAUCCUAGUUGCCAUAAGCUUUGGAUUAUGUGUACAAUGAUUUAACACAGAUGACUUCACCUCAUAAAUCUUUAGGCUGAUUUAACACUUAUAGAAAAAAGAAGAGAAUGUAAAAGAAGAAUUGUUUUAGAGAACAUGAGAUGGUCAAAACUCCAAACCAAAUGUCGAUCCUAAAUUCUAACUAUCAUAGCAACAAAAUCACACAGUGGGAGAUGAAAUCGACUUGGAUGUAUUCUGUAGCCAUACUGAAACGUCACCACCAUUUCCCAAUAUUUUACAAUCAAAAGGAGGCCAUAAUCUCAAAACCCAACAUUGUAAAACCCAAAUUCAAAACUAAAAUGCACUAUUCAAAGAAUAAUAAAGUUCUGUUGUCUCCAUAUUUUUCUAGAAUGAAUCUAAGUAUUCAUUCUCCUAUUGAAUGAAAUAAAAUAUUUGCCUAAUUGACAGAACAAAAAGUAAACAAGCUGGAGUACAGGAGAGUCAGCUGACAAAGAUAGCUCAAAAUAAUAAUAAAGCUGGAGUAUAGGAGAGUUCAAUAUUCUUGAAAAGGACAACCUUUUCUUUUUUAAUCAGGGAAAGAAAAAUAAUAAUAAAAGAUAAAAAAAAUAAAAAAAGAAGGAAGUCAAACUUUGAGGGAAAGAAUCAAGUAAUUACAAGUUACAGCAAAGACAUCUUCCAUUUGUCAAUAAACAUUAUCUAUGACCUAAAGGAAUCUGAGCCAUGGGCGUGUAAAAUACAAACUCAAUGCAUGUUCAUGAAUGCAACCAAUGGUAGCCCAACCAGUUAUUCAGGUCAACUGCAGGCCAUUCCAGUAGCUUAAAAUUUGACACCAGGUCUAACUUCUAUCUUCGUUAUAGUAAUCAUAAUUCAUCAAAUUGAAAAAAAAGAAGUCAUAGAAAAAUGAUGACCCGAGGAUCACUUUUUACCUUUAAAAAUAUCAAGAUCACAGAUUUUAAAAUCUUAAAAGCUCAGACAGAAAAAGGAUAGCAUGCUUAUCAUAGGGAAUGAUAACGAUUCCAGGGUAAUGAUAUGGCAAGGCGUAAGCUUAUGCCUAGAAUAAAAAAGAAGUUAAAGUAACUACCUAGGGUUAGGAUUUCCUUUAACCACUUUCUGCCCAUACUUGCGCCACCUAUAACCGUCAUCUAACAGGUCAACCUCACUUCUUGUUUGGACAAUGAUUUUUGGUUCUGUGAGUGUUUUAUGUGACAAGGCAACUCCAGAUGUCCCUGCGUCAAUGUUCCUGCACUCAUGAAGCAAAGCCACAAAGGUUCAGUUUUUUCCUUUUUAUUCUUUUUCCCUACAACCAAAGCAAGACAACAUAUUAAAAUUAAAAAAUUCCACACAUACUGCCGCUUUGGAUUUGGCUCAUCUUCAUCUCUGUCAUCCGUUAUCUCUGUAUCAGCUCGUCCUUCACUGUCACUAGACCCUAAUUGCACAUUUUCACUUGACUUGUUCAAAAUUCCAGCUUGGUUUUGCAAGCCACAUUCAGGCUUAAUCAAUGAAUUUGUACAUCCAGCCGGCUCAAUAUUAUCUCUUGCACGUUUGUUGGCUGGAGGAGGUUCAUGGUUGUGCUGGCCUUUGUAAAUAAUUUCAGUAAUUUGACCAUCAGGUGAGCGCUCAAUCUUCUUUUUUACGGGACAAUUCAAAUGAGUGCAUUUGUAAUAGCUUCGUGGAAAUUCACUGCCCUUAACCAACUUCUGCCCAUAUUUACGCCAGUUAUAGCCAUCAUCUGCAGGUUUAUCAGAGCCAUGGGGGGGAGGAGGAGGUUGAUAUUUUCUAUCAGAAUGAGAAACUUCUGUCGAUUCUGCAAUCAGACUUUUUGUGUCUGAUGUGGAGGGUAUUAUGGCCAGUUGAGAUGCAUCAUCGAGAGAAAAUGAUGGAUCACGCACUAGCGGUUCUGUAGGAGCUGGUACUGAAGAAUGUUGGUAUUCAGCUUGCUGCAUAUGCAUAUGGGAAUUUGCCAAUGCUGCUUGAGCAGUAACUUGAGCCAAUGCCUGCUGAUGCGACAUUCCAAAUGGACUCUACAGAAAUCAACAAAUCAAUAGGAGGCAUACAAGUCACUACCCAUGUUGAAAUUUCAACAAAGUUUCAGGAUGCAAAUAUGAUUAUCGUUUGUAUGACACAUUAUACAAGAUACUACUAUAACUAGAAGGUUAAAUCAUGGAUUUGAUUGCAAGACUUUCAAAGUUGUGGCUACUGAUCCAUAUAUAUUGAAAAGUUUCAAAAAAAUUAAACAAUCUAAAGAAAUUCUAAAUUUUCAAUUAUGUAUCUAAUAGGUCCUCUCCUUGCAAUUAACCAAACCUAACCAAAAUCAGCUUGCUAUAUAUAUACAUAUGAUGAUGGUUUCAAUUUCAUUUUCCCUUUAAAUUUAUGCUUGUUUUCAUUUUUCUUAAAAACACAUUGAAUUUCAUAUUAAAAAGAAUCUUAGCAUCAAAAGUAAAACAAAAUUUAAAAAACUAUAUUUUGAAGUUUUCAAAAAUUGUCUUAGAUUUUGAAUAUGUUUUUAAGGUAGAAAACAAAACAAAGAAAGACACGAGUGGAAGAAGUGUUUAUAAAUUUGAUUUUUAAAAACAGAAAACCAAAAACAAAAUAGCUAUCAAAUGGGGCUUAAAUAAUAUACAAUCAAUGUGUCAUAUUGAUAGUCAUAAACCACCAAAGUUAAUGCAUCAUUCUAUUAGACACAUAAUUGGAAGUAUUGGUCGCUAUUAGAAACUCAUUGAAGUUGAGCGACUAGAUAAACAUAACUUUGAAGGUUUAAAGACCUAUUAGAGAUUUUUAAGAAGAACAAAUAUUAAAUAGACACAAACCUCGAAAGUUGUAUCAGGAGAUUGUUAAAUCAACAUUGUGAAGGUAAAUAUAUGAAAGUUCAAAUUUUGUCUUAGUUUCUUAUCGUUUGUCUGUUCAAAUUCCCAAAAUCCCCAAAGUUAUGAUACGUUCAUUUCAAAUAUUCAAAUGUUAUCCAAACAUGUUCAACAUCAAAAAGUUUUGCCGCAAAUUUCGGCAAUUUCAUUUCUACGAAAAGAGAACCAAAAAAUCUCACCGUAAAAAAUGAAAAAAAAAACAAUUUCAACAAACAAUCUAAAACUCAAAAACCAUUCUCAACAAGAAGAAUUGGAUAAACCCCUUUCAGAAAAAGAACUUAAUUUCGAAAACAGAACACAAAAACUCUCAUUUCUCCAAUGAUUAACCAAAACCCAUUUCAUAAAACCAAAUUUCUACCAUCAAAAUCAUGAAUACAUAAAAGAAAGUAGCUUACCCAAAAAAUUCAAAGCAAAAGAAAAGGAAAUCUCAGAGCAACAGAACAAAAACAAAAACCCCUCUAAGUCAAAAUUGGGAGUUGGAAUUUUACCUGAGGAGGAUAAAACCCCGGCGAAUUAAGCAACCCAGAAGGACUAAGCCCCGGAGGAACCGAGAACAGAGGAGAACGAGCUACCACUAAAUUCACCGGCUUCGAUUGUUUCAUCCCAAAUUCCAAUUCCGAGGCGGGUCCAUCCUUGGCGUAAUAAUUGGGAGUAGACCCAGUUCCGAAAAACCCCAUAGCCAUCGGAGAAGCCAUAGCUCCAGCGAGAAGCUGGGAGAAGGAAGGAGAGUCAACGGCACCGUCGGCGAAGUAACUUGAAAGAAGAGUCAUAGGACCAGGGCUAACCCCAGUAGGACCGCCGGUGAAAAAAGCCUCCAUAGAAGGACGAGGCGGGAGAGUAAUAGUGGGGCGUUGAAGUGGAGGUCUUGUUGCAGAAUCGUCCUUCUUAGCCAUUGAAGAACUUCUUCAAAAGAAAAAUGGAUUUCUCUCUCUCUCUAUCUCUCUCUUACAAAGUUCCGUAUUUGGGGCUUUCGUUUUUGGCUUUCUCAAUAUUUCGUGCUAUCUUCUUCCUCUUCAUCUUCACUAUAAACUCCACGUAACCUCCAAUUCACCAUUCUUUUUAUUUACUUUCCUUUUACCUUCUCAAAAUUUUUACCUUUUUUCUUUAAAUAAAAACACUUUUCUCCUCCAAAAUCCUUAAGAUUGAAAACAAUUCUUUCUAUUAAGAUCUAAACAAAGAGCAAUAAUCAAGAAUUAAUGUUAACACACACAACCACAUUUGAUCUAACCCUUUAACACAUAUUAGUUAUAUUCACAUCUUCUAACUUUUACUUAUCGUAUAAAAUCUAACCAAAUAACUCUAAAGUUAGUGAGUGCCCUAAUAGUUAUGUGAAAACUCACCGAUGAUCGACAAAAAAAUCAUAUCCUAAAUUUUUUUAUACGAGCUAUUUCAUUUUAGUGAUCUUUGUUUUCAUAUUUACUUUCUCGUUCAACCUUUACAAUCACUAUUUUACCAAUAUAGUGCGUAUGGAUUGUUAUUAGUUUUUUCUUUAUCAUUAAUCCAUUAUUUCACUAUGCUGAUCAACUCGAGAUAUUGUAGUCUAAUAUAGCAAAAUUUUAUUUUUGAUGAACUCAAAUAUAAUAGACAUUUAUUAUUGAUAAAUUUUCAUAUACUAUUUAUCAUCGAUCUAUCAAUUAUAAAAAUGAAAUUUUGCAAUAUUUUUUAAACACUCUCAACCGUCUUAUAGUUUAAAACAACUUUCUUUGUUCGAAAAAAUAUGGUUCUAUAAAUUUACUUCAUUGCUCCUCUUUUUACUUGGAAACUUUAUUAUUCAUUACCUUGAUCUAAUUUCUUAGCUAAUUUAAAUUUUCGAUGGUCAACCUUUUAUUUUUGUUAUUGACACAUUAUUUUAAAUGAAUGUCAACUAUUUGCCUCUUACCAUAUUAUAACAUGACAACAUCAAUAAUGUUUAAGUAUUUAAUAUUUAACUAUAACCAAUUAAGUUAAACUAAUCUUUUUUAAAAAAUAAUAAUAAUAAAUUAAACUAGUGAAAUAAAUAAAUAUGAAAAUUCAAUCACAAAUUUAUCUUUAUAUUGCAAAUAUUAAACCAAUUUGUUUGAUCCCUAAAAGGAAGAGAACAUAAUUAUCUUUUAUUUCUUUCCUUCACAACCAUUUUAUUUUAUAUUUCUCUUUUUUUAUUAAUUAAAUUUCAAUAAGUUAACAAUAUUUCACAUAGUGAAGAAUUUGAUGUUUCCAAUUUUAUUGUUUUCUUUUAACUUUUUUAUUACCGUACAGUGAGUGAAUUUUUUCCGAUAAGAUGUUGAGAUCGGGAGACUCAUACUUGGAGAGAGCUAGAAAAGCCUAAGUCACAUUAAAGAGUCACAUUUAGAGGAUAGCCUAAGUUAUUGCUCACUAUAUCCUCAUACUUAGAGAGAACUUAAGUUUCAUUGAAAGAGAGUCUCAGAUUUGGGAGGAUCCGAAGUGAUAAAUCAAGAAAUCUAGCUAGAGAUGAUGUCCACACAAUAAUGUUGUUAUGAAAAUGAAAGGGUGAAUUUCUAAUAUACAUUUCAACAUUCAUAAUAUAUUACAAAACUAUACGUAAGACUAAGUUUGAUUUAAGAUGGUUACAUUUGUGAAAGAAAGAGUUGUGUGGUAACCAAAUGAUAUAUUUUAACCUAUUGUCAGUAAAAUGUUACCAAAAGUAAAAAAUAAUAAUAAAGAGAACAUAUAUAUAUAUAUGUAAAUUAUUCUCAACCAGAACAUAAAAUAAAUGAAUUAAAAUAUUUGGUGGUUUAAAAGUUAAAUUGACUUUUGUGGGCAUAUAAGGUGUUCAUGAAGACUAAGGGCAUUGAAGAAGAUGUACAACUUGACCUCAACCACACUCUCCUAACCUCUUUUCUUCAUUUAUUCUUCCAUCAUCACUUUUUCCUUUUCAACUUUAAUGCUCUCUCUCUAUAUAUUUUUUAUAUUUUUAUUUUGUUUGAGGACCUCUAGAUAUUUUAUUUUUAUUGGCGGGCUUUUCAAUUACCAUUUAAGUUUUUAGAAGCAUGUGUUGUUAUUUACCUUUUUGUCUCGUAUAUUAGAUGGAUGAGUGUGUUUCGUCGGUUGACCUAGGUGACUCAGACUUAUCUUAUGACGUUUGAAAUGUAAAGGAGUGUAGGAUAGUAUUGGAUGUGUGCUUUAGGAUCAUAAGGGUACAGUGGAGGAGGGAUUGUUUGAAAUUCGUUUUUGGUCUGCUAUUUGUUGAGGUUUCAGUGAUUGAAGUUAGUUUAAGAGGUUAUCGCCUCGCUUUUGCGAUUUUUCGUCAAUGAUGGAGAAUUGGAUAAUGUGAUAACACUUCCCUUGUUGAUAGGAGAGGAAAACGUGGCAACCUUAGUGGAAUACGUGGUAGUGGAAGACACAGUACGAGAAAUCUGGCUUUUAGCAAUGAAAUAAUUUUGUCACUAUAUUUGUUUUUCGUUGCAAAAAACAUUCAAUGACGAAAAAUCUGUCACAUGCAGCCGUCACAAAAGCCUAGUUAGUGAAAGAUUGAGACAUUUAAUAAGAAUCUUAAAACACCAAUGUAAUUUGCUCCGACCGAACAUAAAAAAUAUCAAUAUGCGAUGUUUUUUUGGAGAUGUCACUAAAUUGUUGCUUUGUAAAAGAUAGAGAUUAAUUAUACUAUCACUUUUUUUAGAAUGUUAAAAGUUAAAGAUUAUAGCCUCAAGAAUAUCACAGUUAUGCCACAAUGUACUUAUACACACCUAAUACAUUACACUUCUUAUCGACAGUAAGUAUACAUUGUUAUUGUUAAAAGUUUAUAUUUGAACAAUUGUAAAAAUUUAUAAAUGUUUAUAAUUGAUAAAAUCUAAAAUUUUAUUAUAAUUUAUAAAUAUUUCGACUAGACUUACAAGUAUAACAAAAUCUAUCGGCAAUAAAAUCGGAGAUUAUAGCACUAAAUUUUAUUAGAGAAACAAUUACAAAAUCUAUUCUCAUUUCAUAAAUUUGAAUUAGGACACGUAGGAUUAUGAGUAGAAGUACGUGUCGUGUACGUUGGCAAAGCAAAUUUGAGAAUUAAAAGUUUUAAGAAAUAGAAAUGAGAAUGUGUGGGGCCCCAUGUAACAAAGAAAAGAAGCAUUUCCCAAAUCGAUUCUUUCUUUUGUUACUUUUGAAAAUGAAACCUUAUUUUUCACUUUUCUUCUUUCUUUCUUUCUCCCCUUUGCUUAAACAAACUAACUUUUUAACCCUUUAAGAAUUUCGUGAGAAUCACUUUCAUCCUAUCUCAUAAUAAAAAAAAUACAACACAAAGAGUUCAUUUUAUCAUACGAUAGUGUGUUAUGACAUAAACAAAAUGUUAGAUUUUCAUAAAGAGUUUGUGUUAGCGAUUUCAAAAUUUAAGGUUUGAUUUUUCUAUUUCAUAAAUUAUAAAAGAAAAUUAUUGUUUAGAUCUUUAAAUUUGGAGGGUAAUUUCAGUUUGGUCUCUAAAUUACAAAAUGUUACACGUUCAUUACGUAAAUUGAAUAAGUCCAUAGGUUUCAAAAUGUUAUAGUUGUUUUUCCAUUUAGAUUUAGAUUUGAGUUGUGUUUCAAUAGUGUUCUUGGAUUUUAAGAUUUACACUUUUAGUCCUUAAGUUUGUAAUUUGAUUUCGACGAGUCCAUAAGUUUCAAAAUGUUACAAUCUCACCACUGUGAUUUGAGUUCUAUUUCAAUUUAACCCCUAGCUUUCAUUAUUUACACUUUUAGUUUGGUUUUAACUUAAGUCCAUAAAUUUUAAAAUAGUAUUUUCACUAAAUACUUAUCACUUUUCGUCUUCUAAUUUUAAUUUUAAUAGUUUAAAUUACAAAUUUCUACAACUUGAAAACGAAAUUGAUAUAAAAGUAAUAUAGAAUAAAUUGAAAUAAAACUAAAAUAAUUGAAAGACUAAAAUAAUGUUCUCAAACAAAUUGGUUAAAUAUUCAAAAUGGAAUUUUCUGUCAAACAUAUUAUAUUAGUUAACUCCAUGAAUGUUAAUUAAAACAUAAAAGAGAAUUCAUAUGACCAACCAACAAAGAAGCUUUUGAUUUUCAAUACUUUGUUAGUUUUUCACCAUUAUUGUUUCUGUUACAAUAAUAAUAGUUAAUGAUUAGCAUACAUACCUAUAUAUAUUAACAUAGAACAAAUUGGACAACAUGUCUCUCAUAGUUAUUUCUAGGGCAAUUUUUUUUUCUUUUGAAGAAUUUCUAGGACUUUCUUUUAUAUAUAUAUAUAUAUUGCCCCACCCAUUGAAUCCCUAAAAGGACAUAUAAUAUGUAACAUCAUCAAGUUAAAUAGUCAUUGAUAUUGAUGUUUUAGAAUAGUUUUACAAUUAAUUAAUUAAGCAAUUAAGCAAUCCAAGUGCAAUAGAUGAUUUAAAUUUUGAAUUGAUGAAAUUAAAGAAAAACAAUUUUUUUAAAAAUAGUCAAUGAUAUAUAUAGAUCCAAAAUGUAAGUCAAGCCCACAACUUGUCUACUUGAUUUGUAUUCAUUCAUUUGAGUUCUAUAUAUAAUCUAUCUGUUUUAUUUUAAAUGAGUUGGAAUUUUUACUUUAUUAUUUAUUAUCGGUUUAAAUCUUAACUAAAACAAAUUAAAAAGCCAAUUGGAUGCUUUAAAGAAGAAUUUCGUGCACUUUUUUUUAAGGCUAGAGAGUGAAUACCUUUCUAAAAAAAUUUAAAUUGUAAACCACGAAAAUUUACGCACCGAUCAAUUAAAACAAGGGUUUUUUUAGUAUAAGAUGUUAGAGGUUAAUUUGGAUAAAAGAGUAAAUUGGGUAUUUCUGUACGAAAUUAUAAGUUUAUGAUCAAAACUAAAGGUUCAAUAAACAAAGAUCUCAUAUCCCCCAUUCAAUUUCAUUAUAAGUUGAGGUCGAGCCAAAAGAAAUCUCAAAGUAGCACAAGCUACUUUGGUUAGCCUUAGUCCAAGUCGGAAGCCACCCAAAGAAAUCCAAUAAAUUUCAACUGUAAUAGGGGAUUCUCACGCUAAAAAUGAUUAUUAUAUAAUAAUAAAAAAUACUUAUUAUAUAAAAUUUUAGGUUAAAUUACAAAAUUGAUCCAUAUUAUUUUAAAACGAUAAAUUUGACAACUUUUGUUUUAAUUACAAUUAAUCGCAAUUAUCAAAAAUUAAUAAAUUUAAUUAUACAAAAAUCAUAAAUAACAUUUAUUGAUCUCUCCAUUUUUUUUUUUUUGUUAAGAACUGGAAUCUCUAUUAUAUUAUUUUUAUCUUUCUUUUCAAUCAAAAGAAAGAAGAAGAGAUUUUGUUUUAGAAAAAAGAAAAAAGAAUCCAAUAGUUGGGUUUAGGGUGGUUGGUUGUGAGUUAUAGUUCGUGGGCUCAACUAUGAACCAUGAAGUUGGAAGUUCUUGAUUAGUCAAAACAAAUGAGAUUGUGGAAACACAUAUCAAAUCUCUUCCCUUUUUUUUUUUAACAUUUUAAAACUAAAUAAAAUUAAACUCCAACUCUCUUCUCUUCUUCCAUAUGUUUAUUUAAUCGUACUUUUUUAUGUUAUUAUACACGCUGCUUUCCUACUAAUUAAUCCGAACAUAUUUAUCUCGCAUUAUCUAUCGUUUCUUUAACUAAAAGGAGAAAUAAGUGUUUUGAGAACUAAAGAUUUGUUAUAUUUAUUGAGUAAAUAAAAGUAUAGGAUCUUAAAAUUUCAUUCCAACUUUUAUUCUUCAUAGCUAAAAGGUCAAGUUUUUUACUCUAUUAACGAGGGGAGAAAUCGAACCUCUAAAAUUUGAGAUGAUAUUACAUCAAUAAUAUACCCAUUUUAUUAGUAUAUAGUAUAUUAAUAAUAUAUCCAUAGCAUAAAAAGAAAAUUUUGCAUAUUUACCAAUUAUUCUAUACAACAAAUUUACAAAUAUGGAAAUGGCACCUGUUAUUAUUACCCUAAUAAAUGACCAACAAAACCAAAAUACAUCUAAUCUACUUUUAGUUUUUCCUAAAUGUACAAUUACUUCUAAAAUUAUUAUUUCCAUAAAUUUAACACACUCUUUUUUGUUUACAAUUUAGGACUAUCUCUUUGGGAUUAAAAUUGAAUAAUAAAUAUUAAAGACUUGAAUCUUAUGAUAAAUAACCAAAAAGUUUAAAAGGUUUGAAAGUUGAACUAAGAAAUUGUGACAGAAGGAUUGCAGAAUCUUUUCUUUUUUGUUUUUCUGAAUAAUAUAGUCAUGCUCGAUUGAUUCGCGUAGAAAUUCAAGACCGAUUGUCCUAGUUGAUCCGGAGGUAACAAAAUCGAUAAGUGAGAGUUGAAUAUAGUCACGACUUUAUAAGCAAAAUAUCGAAAUGUCGAAUCUAAAAUCACUUUGCAAUUUUAGUUCACUGUACCAAAAUUGUAUGAAAUAAAAAUGAUCAAGCCAUUAAGAGUUCAAUUUUGAUCAAAGUUAUGACAGUUUUUAGACAAGCAACUCUAAUAGGAAGCAAAAGCAAUACCAUCAUUGGAAAGUUAAACUUUUCAUUUUGAAUUGAUUGCUUAUCAUAAUAUAAGCAUUAAAUCCAUUAGAUUAAAUUAAAAUUGUCAAAGCGAGAUUAACUAAAAUAAAAUACUGUCUAAGUAAUCACAAGAUUUGUGAUUCUAAUCCCCUAUAAGAUCCAAUAGGAUUGUAAAGCUACCGUUGUUGAUAUUAUUUUUCAAUACAUAAGAAAUUGUUCAUGCAUCACAAUUUUGGUGACAAAAAUCUGGCUUCUACCUCAAAUAAUCUAAGUUUUUAUAAGCAAACAUGAACUGCUAUACAUCUGGGAUGAUUUUAGGAUUGCUUCUUUCUAAUGGAAGACCGAUGGAUAGAUGGAAGGAUCACUCACAGUUUGAUUUCAGAAAAAUAGGUUGAUGAGACAGCCAAACCUUCCACGUCGUAAGUUCGGACCAGCCUCUGUCUUUUGCCUGGGGCUUCCAGCCAGCAGAACUCGAGGUGGAAUGACUUAUUAUCUGCUACACUUUUGGCUACAUCACAUGGACAUCCCAUAUACAUUCCACCAGGCAACAAUGUAAUCUGAUACCCGCCGUCAAACGUUACCAAGUUGUCCAAUUUAGUACCGGUCCAAUGCACGUUUGUGGUUACAUCUUCAUUCAUUGAUGUUGUUGUAAUAUCCUGACAGUAGAAGAACAGGUUGCAAUUUUAAAAUGGAAUCAUAGAUUUCAAGACCCAGUUUGAUGGUGGAAGGUGUUAAAUCACCGAUCGACUAAAAAGCUUAAGCUGAAGGUGAGUGUAAAUUUGAUUAUAUCAUCAAAGCUCCUGAACCGACAUGUUUUAAUACUAUCUUAAAUAAUUGAUAUCAUCCAACAGAGGGAGCACUUUGGUUAAUGUUCAAAAGAUGGGGGAGAGUCCGAUUUCAGUGAAUCAUACCUGGAUAAUCUGACCAUUGUCGUCCAUUUGAAGGGAUGAAAAAGAAUCAGCCUCAGCAAUUGUAGCCCCAUAAACACCACUUCUUUUUGUUCUAGAAUGACCUUUCCAGUCACCAAGAAAAGGGAGAAGCCUGUUUUCCUCAUCCUGCGACCAUACGAUUGUUAGUUCAACACAAAAAAGACCGAAAAAUGUUGAAACAAAGAGUGAAAUUAAGUCCAUCACUUUACUCAAACCAAUGCUACAACUUACCGACACAGAAUUUGAAUUGAGAGGACGAUGAAAAAGUUUCCCAUCAGUCCUUUCCUCGAGAAAAACAAGCAGCAUUUCUAUAAUUCCUUGUGGGUCCAUUAUAUGAAAAGCUCUUGCCCUCAGAUCUCUGUCUGGAAUAUACAGGCAAUUCUCGCAUACAAUGGAAGGUCGGCGAGAAGGAAGCUUGAGGUUUCUGCAUGUUUAAGGGGGUGGUAAAGUAACUACGAAUUAGGAUUUUGUAUAAGUUUGAACAGUUGAAAAAAAAAAGAAAAAAGAACUAAUAUGCAUUCAAGAAAAAGAAACUGCAAAGAAGGAUUUUGCAAGUUGAAAAAGUUGGAAAAAAAAAACUACUAUAUAUUGAGCAAGAAAAAAAUGGCCGAACGAAAGUACAAACUUAAGAAGUGUGUUCUAGAGAAAUAUCAACAUCAGUUCAUUGGCGACAUGAUUGAAACCAAUAAAGGAUUUAAGUCAAAUGAAGUCGAUGAUUAUGAACGCUCAAGGAAAAGGACUUCAUAUAAAAUGUAAUCAUUCAGGAUUAUUAAGAACGUUUAUAAAUAAUUUAUGUUGAUUGAGCCAGGACAGGAAGGAAGAACAAGCAUGGGUAACCUGACGAUCACGAAAUAUUGAUGGCAAUGGGAAUAUAACUCCAUGAGAAAAUAUUGAGUUAUAUAAUAAUCUUAGAGCAGUAUAUUUUCUUUACACACCUUUAUUUAGUUCAUUUCUGGAACUACAAUGAGCAUGAUAUGUUCGAGAGCAGAUAGGAUCACGAAUACACAGAAAGUAUCACAUCUAAUCCAUUUAUACACGAAUGCAGAUAGGAUCAUGAAUGAACUCUUACUUGGGAAAUUCUUCACCGGUAUCAUCCUCACCCAGCACCCCUUCCCUCAGCACAGUAUCCAACAUUCCAGCAGUCUGGUACCUUAGAGAAAAUGCUUUUUCAUUGGGGAAAAAGCCAAUCUGCAAGCUAAUUGUAGCGGAUAUUCAGGACAAAAUGUAUUUUUUGUGUAUAAGCAUACAUACAUUGGAAUUGGGAGGAAAACUCACCUGCUGAUAUUUGUCCACAGUGAACAUGUUGGUUUCUUUAAUUUUAUACUCUGCCCACUCCGGCUCGUCGUCGUUACGAGGAAGCGAAACACUUGAUUUCUGUUUUAUAUAUAACCUAUAAAGUACAAUAGAAUCAAGAAAACAACAAAAUUAGCCGGUGGAUUUGUUAUGGUAAGUCAGUGACAUUGUAAAUAAGAGUUGCAUUAAGGGCUCACAUAAAUUGAAACUGAAAAAAGAUGAAAACCCAUAAAUCAAAGUGAUUUGCAUUUACGUUUGAAUGAGACUGAUAAGUUCGUCCUCUCCAUAAGAGCUCACAGCUAGCUUCGUACUUAUUUCAUGCAGCAAAUUCCCUCGAACGUCAUAUUGCUAGACAAGUAAAUCAAUUCUCAAUCUUAAGUAAAGAAUCAAAACCCCAGAUCCCCAUUUCUCUAAAAGCUUAUAAAUCAAUAGAACAACCACUCAAUUUCCAAUAAAAUUUGAUUAAUCGCAUACACAACAGCAACUGCCGAAGGAAUUAAGCACAAAGUAGAGAAAGAGAAAAUUAAGACUGACAAAGAAAGAACCGUUCCACUUUCCGGAGUUGAUUUCGAAGAAGCGAUAAAGAUUAUCGAUGCUCAUUGAGCCUUCGUUAGGUUCCCGAGCAUCUCCAACGGCGGUGGAUGACUUUGAGGUGGAGGCUUGAAUUUUGCAGCUCCGAAGUGAAAGAGUAGAAGUUGAAUGGGGAAGAAAGGGGUGGAUAGGUCGGAGCUUAGUGAUUGUAGAAGGAAGAGAAAUUGAAUGGCAAAUGGACGCCAUUGAAGCUGAAGCUGAAGCAGAAGUAGAGAUUUCUCUGUUUCAGACGAAAGGUUGAAGAAAAGAUACUAUUGGAUUUAAUACCUUAUCCCUAUUUUCUAAAUUGCUCCAAUUUAAUUUAAUUUUCAGUGCAAAGUUCUUUUUAUUUUAUAAAAUAAAUUCAUUUUUAAUGCAUUUUAAUUUCUAGUACAGAUGCAAUUUCUUUUUCUUAAUUAAAAAAAUUUGGUAAUGGAAGAUCAACAAAUUUUGUCUAACUUUUGUAUAUUAGUUUAAGUGUUAUUCAUAAUUAUUCAUUACUAAUUACUUUUGAAAUUGUGUUUAGUUCAAGGGUUAAUUCCUUUUUCUUCCGUUUGCUUGCUUCCAUGAAAAAAUUUGACAUAUUUCUUUCUUAUGUUUUUUCUCUAGUAUUCCAUUUACAGGAUGAAUGAAUGAUGAAUGAACCGAAGGCGGUCAAUUGGAGAUAAGAGAGGUUCAGUCAAUGUCAAUUUGAAAAAAAGCAAACAAUAACAUUUAAAAAAAAUCAGACUUAAUGACCAAUUAUCGAUUCAUGAUCAGAUUUAAUUAGACAUUCACAAAUUGACUCUGAAUUACUAAUGUUCACCCCUACUCACAAAGCACGGUAAGUAUAGAAACAUGCUUUUUAAAUACUUGUGUGAAUAUAGAUGUUCUUAGAUGUUCUGCAUAAUUUAUAUAAAGCGAUUUCAAAAAAACCAAACUUUCACACCUUGAAUUAAAUUAAAGCAAUUCCAAAAAACCAAACCAAACUUUUACGCCUUGAACCCAUGUGCUCUUGAGGUGUUUCGAAGAAAUGCAUUAAACAUAUCUGAUCUCUAGUACUUAAUUAUCUUGUUUUCUUUGCUCGUCUUUCCACUGUGUGCAUGCUUCAUUUAGAAAAGCAACGCAAGUGCAUUAUUGAAGGUAAAAUCUUGAUAGAAUGUUUGUGUAUUCGAAUUUCAUUUGUUAUUUCAAAGGUGACUAAAUCUUUAGGAGAUUAAAUCUUUUCUCUAGGCUCCCUGUCUCCUAAUAUUUACUAGAAAACAGUAGAAGGUAUCUUCAAGUCUGAAUAAUUCCCACCACAAAGUAAUCCACCGAAACCAAACGUAAAUUGAGAACUAAUACAACCACAAAUCACUUUUGCUUUUGCUUUUGCUUUUCGAGACAGAGAACACAUACAACCAUAAAACUUCGAAAAAGAAAGUUAAUUAUUUUAUUUUAGCUACCAAAAAACCUUCACAAGAAAAGAUAACUUACAACGUACUCUCUCAACUCCAUUCAUCUCAAGGUAGAUCGAGCUUUGCCAAUUUGGUGAAUAGAUGUAUAUUAGAUAUAUAAUACAGUUAAAUAAAUAUUGAAGAUAAUAUAAUUUAUUUAUCAUACAUAAAUGUGUAACAAUCAUACCUACUAAUGGAUUCAAUUAGUCUAAUUUCCAUUUUUUCCUAUAUUACUAUUGGAAGAGACAACUUUGUAAUUUGUGUUAAGAAGGAAGAGUAAUCCAUUGCAGCAUAAUCAAAACUAGUGAAGUUCGAAGAGAGUAUUCUAAAACUAGAGGGAAAAACUUCCAUAACAGAUCAAAACAAUGAGAAUUCAAUUUUUUCCCCUCAAAAUCAAUCUAUAUAUACCAUACAAGUCCUGGAAUCUUCCUAUUGAGAACUGGAAGUUUGUCAAAACAAAAAUUCACACAAACAUGCUUAUAACAGUGAACCAUCAGGAUGAAAAACUACAAGAAUAUAAUGAUAAAAGUUCAUGAAGGGGUCGAGAGUUUUAGCUUUCACCUGCAGGGCCUACUAGGACUCCUUGGGCUGCACCUUCUUUCCGCCCACUGUCUUCCUCCUUAGCCUCGCCAUCAGGCUUUCUAAUCCUGAUCUUGUAUUUGGCCUCCAAGUCAGAUAUCUCCUUCUUCUUCUUCUCCAAUGCCUCAUUGAGUCUCGAAAUAACCUCCUCGAGUCCCUCUUUGUUGCGUUGGACAGCCGGCAGGACCUCUUUGAUGGUUCUUUCAACCAGCACUCCACCGAUCAUUCUGUAGCAUCUUCUUGAUGGGUCAAGUGGCUCAAUUGCGGAAAUAACCAGAGAGUGUUCACUGGCUUCCAUUUCGAGUUCUGUGAUUUUUGAGUAUAUCUGAUUCAAUUCUGACCUUAAAGCGCCAUACAUGUUUGCAACCAUUUGCUCGUUCACUGGUUCCUUGCGUUCACUCUCACUUGAGCUUGCCAUUUUGAUCUAUCAAGUGGUAGAAACUAAGUUAAACAAUUUAUAAAACUAGAAUAAGAAUUACUUUUUACUUUCAUCCCCAUAAAAUAUCCAAUAAUUCUCUCAACCCUUCAAAUUCUACCGAGAGUUGCUCAUGGAGAAUAAGAAAUGGCUUUCUAAUGGAGGAUGGGAUCACAGAAGGUGAGGUGGGUAGAUGAGAGAGUUUUUUGGUUUUACAUGAGUAUAAUUCCGCCCUUAAUUUUAGACUGGAAUGAAAACUCUACAAGGGCAUUUUUAUUUCAGAUCGAAACUUUUCACUUUUUAUAUUAUACAUACUGAAACCAUCUUGACAAAAGAAACACAAAAUCAUUAAUAUUACAAGUAUAAAUAAGCUCAUGGUAUAGACGAGGGAUCCACAAUAAUAUUACGUAUCCAUUAGUAUAUCAAGGAAGCUGUCUUACAUCAAAAGGGCAACCUCAUGAUCUUCGUCCGUCUAUGCUAAAGGUGGCCUUCCCAACUUUCUGGGUCUCUUUUGCUGCUUAAUUUUUACCGUAACAUUAAUCCCAUUAUCAAUAACAGACUGAAGCACAAUUUGAAGCUUCCCUUCUAUCCUCUCACCUUUUCUUGGCGUGUAUAUCAGAUUGUGGAUAUCAUCGCCCAAUGCUCUCUGGGCCAAAACAGCCCCUACAGCAGCACAGGCAGAGGAAUCCUUCCUUGAAGUCAGGUCAAAUUUCAUGUCUUUAGAAAUUGAAUGUGCCACAGCAACAACCUUACUAGUCACUCGGUGAAUAAUGCAGGCUCGAACUGAGGCCUUUGAUAUGAAUAUAUCAAGACAAAAUGGCUCAUGGUAAGGACUGGUAAGUUGAUUAAAUGUGGGUGUCCUAAGCUUCUUCUCAACAUCAUCAUUCUCCCUUUCAACUAUUACAUAUUUGUUCUUCAGAUGUUCAGGAAGCUUUACUUGGCCACUUGCCAAACACUUAUCAAGUUUAUCAUUUACUUUGCUUCUUCUUUUCACCAUAUCUUCCUUUUCCUUUAGAGACUUUUUCUUCCGAUGAAAAUCAAGGCUACAUUCUUCAAACUCUUUGGAUGCUUGGUCAAGUUUGUAGAAGAGAUUUCCACGUAUUCUCAUGUUGUCAAUAUCAUCAAAAUCUGAAUCACAAUAAUCAACUGGGUCAUGAGCCUCAUCCUCUAAGGAGUAUCUAUUUUCAAAGCCAGACCAGCCCUUUUCUCUCGCUUCCCAUGCUCUUGCUAAACCACAUGAAACUGCCCAAGUAUCAUCAUCUACAAGUUCAACAUCAUAAGCAACUGAACAAGGUUUAUCAUCAGGGAACAAUGGAGUUAGCUGAGGCCUGCAUGAACCAUUUGCAAUACUAUUUGAAUGAGCUACUCUUUCAUUCUCGCUUCCAAUGCUUCCCCCAGGAAAUGCUUUUGAGCAAAAGCUGCAGGCCCUCAAAACAAAUUGAGGGCUAGUAAAAGCAAACCCUCUCCUCAAGAACAUGAAGCCACUUUACAACUUUGAACAAGAACAACCACAGAUCCCAACCACCUACUCACAUGAACAUUAUAUGCCUAAAGAAACAAAAACAAAACAACCUAUAGUGAAUGAAUUAACUCAUCGAACCAAAGCAUCAAACAAAUGGGCAGCAUUAUUGAUACUGUAAACUAGCACAAUUAACUUCUUGUUUUUGAAUUUGAUGUACGAGGGAAACUCAUAAAUGUCUUAGUUCCUCUAGUAGCAUCUAAAUUUGCAAUCUGGGUGGAUUGUCUUAAUCAAACUUUGACCUCAACUUUCUCCUCCCAUUUCAUCGAUAGUGGUCGGAGACUCAGAACUCAAAACCCAGAGCCAAAAGUCAACCAAGCAUAAGAAAUAGCCACAUCUAAUGCCCAGUAAGGAUAUCCCUCAAAUCAACAUUGCAAUCCACACAUACUUCCUUCCUCCCUGUUUACAAUGGAAGAUAUAUCUGGCAGUCCACCUCGAGAAUAGAUAGGAUGAAGAUCAUGAAGUUAAAUUUUGAAUAAGACAACCUCCUUGAUAACUCACAUAUAGAUAUAGGUACCCUUCAGAGUUUAAUUUCAAACGAGGCAGAACCAAACAGCUAAAACAUAGUCUUAAAUCACCGCUGUCUUAUCCCCCAACUACUAGAAGUUAACCAACAACUCCCCGAAACAAUAACGUAAUUUCAUUGAAUCAAGACAAAAGCAACAUUAAGCACAGAAAGGUAAGUGAAGCAGUUUAGAAACGCAACACAGUUUCAAGCAAUAAACCAUGGAUUAAGUAACUGAGUUCUAGAUCAAUAUAUUGGCAUAAAGUCUAAAACGAUCGCAACAAGAAGCACCUGAGAUUUUGAUUUCAGAGAAAGAACAUAACGAAAAUCUAUAUAUACAUAAAUUGCCCUUGGAUUGAGAGGAUGAAGAUGCAUAUAACUUAAGUACCUACCUAAUAAUGAGAGUUGACAAAGAGGGAGAAAAAGAAGAGCUUUGAAAUAGACCGACGGUGGCGACGGGGAGAUUGUGAAGGAGAGUGAGGGUCGGCGGCAAACGGCGUAGGUCUGGAAAAUGGAGUUGCUCAGUCCAAUUAGCGCUGAAGACGAACCGAUGAAAAAGAGAAGAUCGUAGGCUGUUGAAAUCUGAUUUUAGGGUUUGAUUCUUUUUCUCUUUUACUUAAAUUACAACUUUUUUUUUUCAUAUGUUAUAUAAAAUAAAUAGGUUAAAGUUGAAAAGAGCUCGAGUCUUGAAUCCGUUUUCAUCCACAUUUAAACUAUUUUUAAAAAAAAUUAAAAUAUUUUAAUGUUUAAAUUAUUUUAUGAAAAAUAAGGGGAAGAUAUUUUGAUUUAGGAUUUCUUAACUUAACCAACUCAUAAUAAAUAUCUUUAAAUUCUUAAAACAUUUUAAAGUUUAUUUAAUUUUUCCCUAAAAAAUGAACUAAGUAUAUGUAUAAUUUCUUGUAGAUCAAUGGCCCAUAGUCCCAUUCACUUAUGAAAAUGCUUCAAUUUGGCCAUCCAAAGUUAAUUCCAAGAGACAACAAACAGCAGUUUUGGCAUUUUGGGGUUUUGUCCACUUUAUUAUUUAAGAUUUAAUAUUUCAAUGAAUUAGUCAAUGAAGAACAUAGAGUAACAAACGUUCAACCUCUUAUUAAACUAAUAAACAUAUGAAUACUUCAUAUUACAAAGUUUUUUUACUACAACAGGGAGUGGCAGAUUCGAAUCAUUACCCUUGUUGGAGACUAUAACUUCAAUCACUUUAACUACAAGAAAAUUCUUAAUUAUUCUGCUGUAACACUAGUGAACUUCUAUCAUUAUUCAAUAACAAUCACACCACCUUUUUGUUGCUCUAAUCCUAUUUACCAUUUUAAACAUUGAUUAUGAAAAACUUAAGCAAAUCAAUCCAGUCUUCUCAACAAGUAUUGAACUUGAACUUCCUUUGUUAAUGGCAUGAUCCAUUCACCAUAAAGUUCAGCAACCAAACUGGGCUGUAUUUUGUAAACUGGGGCAGCAUGUUUUUCCUCGAUGUUCAUAGGAACUUCUUGCCCAAAUGUUUUGGCUUUAGUUUCAACUCUCCGUUUUAUCGCCUCCUCGACGCUCGGGAAUGUCAGCAUGUCCAUCAAUUGCUCUUUGUCCUUCAAAACCGAGUACCAGAAUCACAUGAGAUAUUUGAUUUCAAAAGAAGGCAAUUAAUAUAGUAAAGAAGAACAUUUACUUGCUUCCUAAUUGCAGCUUCAUAUGCCUUGGGUGAGUCUCGAAACUUGGCUUCAGCUACAUAUUUUCCAUAAUGGAUUCUCCUCGAUAGAGCCUGUAGUGAUCGAAAUUAAACGAAUAUAGAAACUCAGUCGUAGAAAGUUUUCCAGCAGUGAGUGUCUACAUAGUUGAGAUAGUUUUAGAUGCAAACCUGCAAGCAAAUCGUGUCACAAACAGCAGUUGAACCAUAAUUGCUGUCAUCUCCUUCCUUGACUAAUCUUGGUAUCAGAUCCCUGAAGUACAUUCUCCAUACUUUGCUAUUUAUAUUAAUGGAAUCCGCCGCAUGAUGUAGUACCUAUUUUCAAUUAGAAUCGUGAAUCAAACAACAUUAUUUGUCACACCAUUAACAGAAAGAUCAGUUCUUUAUAUAGUAUUCUAAUUCCAACGAUGAAACUCUAUUUGGGGAAGUUGUUUUAAGUUAAGUUGCAUUAUAAUGGACUUCAAGUUCAGAACUUUCUAUACGUUCUUAAGAUCAAUCACUAAGACAUGUUUGGAAUGGCUUUUUAGGUACUUAAAAGCGUUCGAGUCAACACUUGUUUUGUACUUUAAGCAUUUGAAAACUCAUUCAAAACUAGCUCUUAACGUCCAUGGAGGUUAACUCACACCUGUGGAUACUGAAGUGGAGGCAACAGUGGAGCUGGUAAGUCGUUGGGGAAGAAAGGAUGCUCAUCAGGACUCUUGUAUCUUCCCACCUGUAAUACAAAAAUAGGUUCCAUCAAAUAUAUAUAAAAUUUACAGUCACUCUUUCUUGUUCCUCCUUCAACAAUUUUCCAAGUACCUGAGCAUGCAGCUUUUCAGUUUCCAUGACCAAGUACUCCACCAAAGAGCCAUUGAAGCCAUCCAUGGAGAAAGCACUGGGGUCAUAUGUAUCUCCAUUAUAACAGUAUUGAGCUCUCCCUAAAAGACUAAAGAUAAUGCUGUCCUCUUGGGAGAUUAAUGAGCGUCUUAUUGCCUCUAAGGUCAAGUUCUCACUGAUAUCCACCCUAGCUUUAGGGGACGGUCUACAAUGCAGAAACAAAUCCUUAAAAUUAUAGCUUGUUCCAUCAGAAACAGAGUCACAGACAGAAAAAUGCUUGAAUUGUAACAACAAACACCAUAUCAGAUACGAAAUAGGCGAGCAAAUAAACCAAGCAAAUAAACCAAGAACAUAAAGAAUAGUGAAAUCAACACUAACAUUGUAUUAGAUACAUCAAAUGCAUAUAGAGAGAAAAUAUCAUAUUACAGAUCUAGAGGUGCUAAUAGAGUUAGAGACUUUAUAUAGCAAACUCCAUAACUCUAGGGUUAAAAUUGGUUUUAACGAUAUCAAAAUAAUUCACAAACAGCAAGACCCCAUGCUUAGUCAUUCAAAGUGUUUGAUCAAGUUAUUCCAACAAUAUUUUUAUUUGUCAUAAAAAACAGCACUUGGGAAAAGAAUAACACAAUCCUAAACAGGAAAACAGAUCUACUCCUAAAUAAACUACUACCAAACUCAAAAAGUAAAUAUUUUUAAAAACAUGUUUGUGAGCGAUUUUGAAAUUGUCAAAAUCAAUUAUGUCUGGUUUCAAUCCAGACUCAAACAUGGAUUUGAUCCAUAAAGCCAAUUAAACGAAGUUUUUAAAGAGAUUUUUUAAUCAGGGAGUAACCGACAGUUCCAAAUCAAACAAAAUCGAUACAACACCAAAACCAUCACCCAACUCAAAAGCUGAAACUUGGAGAACAUGUUAAAUGUUUCUAACAGCAAUGUGAGAGCAGCAUAGAACAAAUUAAAAAUGGAAGCAAUGUCAUAAGUAUACAGAACCCAUCGGAGACCACAACUCAAAAAAAAAAAAAAAAAAACAAAUAAAAGAAAGAUACCCAACAGAGGCAACAGAGGCUUGAACAGAGCGAAGAUUGAGAACCCCAUGAAGCGCAGGGGAAGAGAGAGGCAAGGAGCGAUGAUUAGAGGGAAAAAGGGAAGUGGGUUUGGAGAGAAGAGGGGAAGGAGUUGCAGAAGGGGAAGUAAAAAACAAAGUGGCCUCCAUUUUAGAAAAAAAAAAUGAAGGGAAAAUUUGGGGAGAAGAAACUGAAAGAAGAAGAUGGGGAAAGGGGAAAUUUAAGUAAAGAGCCGGCGUAGGUGAAGGAAGGAAGUGAGUCGUCGUCGACUUUUGGUUUCACCUAACCCGCUUUUGGUCAUGGAAGCUACCUACCACUACCACAACCACCAAUGAGUUUAGCUGAUGCUGCUGCUGGCCUUCUUCGACUUUACAUCCGACGUAUUCAGCUUUCCAACCUUAAAAAAUUAUUCUCUCUUUUCUAUUUGAGGUUUUGUUUUCUUUUUUUCAUUUAUUUCCCCUUUCCUUUUCUAACUUCGUCUCUCUACUCUUUUCUUUUUCUUUUCUUUACAAGCUUUCAUACAACAACUCGAGUUGAAGGAAUUUUGACUCGAGAUUUUAUGUGCUUAGAUCAAUAGAUGAUAUGGGAUUUGUUUGAUUAUCCCAGUGGACUAAUGAUCCAAAAAAGUGGUAAAAAUUUGAAAUUUGUUUGUUAAAAUAAUUUUUUUUAUAAUUAUUUUAUGUGAUUAAAAUGUAACCUAGUUCAUUCCGCUCGCUUUUUUCUCUCUCACGAAUAUCGCCCUCUUCUUGCUUUGUCACUUUGAAACUCAAAUAUCUCAAUAAUAGGACCUAUGAGGAAAGAAGACAUAAACUCAUCGAGUAUAAGGGAGAGGAAGUAAGGAAAAACGAUAAUAAAACAUGAGAAGGUUGAAAAUGAAGAAGAAAAAAAUCGAGAAAUUUGAAAGACGAAGGAAAAAUGAAAUGACCGUGAUUUGGAAAUUUUGGUUGAUGGUGAUAUAAGCUUCGUGAGUGUUUGGGUUAGUUUACUUGCAUAUCAACUAGUCUUACGAAACAAACUGAUCAUCAUGAUCCUAGUGUUAAAAAAACAAGUAAUAAAUUAAAACAUAAGUUAGAUGAUCUUCAUGAUUAAACGAGUAAUUUUUUUUUUAUUAGUUAUUUAUAAAGUUUAUGCUUCGUACUUACUAAGAAGUCGAUCAAUUAUGAUUAAAAUAACAAAAUUCUUAAGUUAAAAAAGUUGGUCAAACCCAUUUUUAACUUUGUGUUUGAAUCUUUUAUAAAACUAUCUCCUUGUGUCGUAAUCAUUUAAACAAGCACUGAAAACAAAAUAAAUGCAAGACUCCUCGUAGCUACAAUAAAUAUUAUUUAAAAUUGAGAUUAUUUCAAAAAUAUAAAUGUUUGCAAUAUUUUUUACUAUUUUCCUUUAUAAUUCUCUAAUUACUUAUAAUAAAUACUAUUUCAAAAUCUCACAUUUGCUACAAUAUAUACUAUUUGGUGCCGUUUUUACUAUUUGCUUUCAAUUUUUUACAAACUAAAGUAGUUUAUACUUUAAACUCUAAAUUAUUAAUAACCCAAUUAUAUUAACUACUCUCUUAAAAUUAAUUUAAACUUAAAAUUAAGUUAAGAACUGUGAAAUCUUAAUAUUCAUUAGGCUGAAUAAACACAAUCACUCUCUUAAUUAGUAUUUAAGAACCGUCAAAUCUUCUUUUUGGCAGUUUUGUUUUAUGUUACUUUUAAUUUAAAGAUUGGAGGUUUACAUUAUAUUGAAGUGUGUGAUUCAUUGCUACCUUUUCAAACUUAUCUUCCUUUUUGUUCCUUAGUCAUUCAUCCAUAAUUAGGUUUGAAAUAAACAAUUCUAAGUUAAUGUUUCUUGAAAAGUAACAUUAAUUUAUUUCGCCUAAUGCAAACCUAAUUAAUAAGAACCAUGAAAAGAAAAACAUAAAUAUCAAAUAGUACUAGAUGAUUUAUUAUUUUAUGAACUUUACCUAAUAUUUAAAUGUUGGUUAUACGUAGAUAUAUAUAAAAAGAGAUAAUAGGACAAAAUUUUCUCUAACGUCGUGCUAAUCCAAUUAAAAAAAGAAAGAAAUAGUUGGUUUCACAAAUGUUUUACUAUCAAACGAAAAUAUGGAAAUUAUUUUCGUAUUAAGUUGAUUUAAAAUUUGAUUUGGUUGCGUUAUUAUUCGUUUAAGUGGAAGUGUAUUUAAUGUGAGAUAAUGCAUGUUUAUUUUUUAAUUGUUGGAUGCUAAAAAAUAAAACUAUAAUCUGAUUUGUUAUUUGGUAUAUAAGAUUAUAUAUUAUAAAGUUGUGGUAUGUUAGUGCAGUAAGAAAUAUAUUGCAGCUUAUUUCUUAAAACACAAAUAUAUGAGUACAUUAUUUUAUAUAUAAUGUGUAGUAUUGUGUAUAAGGUAAGGUAGUAUAUUUUAAUGUCAUUUUGUGCACUAAUGAGGAUUGAUAUUUUCUUAAAAUAUAAAACUCGAUAUUUCGAUCAAAUAUUUUUGAAAAGAGUAAAAAAGGCCAAAAAAAAAUUACAACCAUUAACAACCCACAAAGUUGAACUGUUGGGCUCUAGCGGUGAGUCAGCAUUUGGCAAGCAAUGCUUAACAUUAAAGUUACAUACACACCAAGAACACUCAUUGGCUAUCAAAUCCCCACGUCACCAAAAGAGUUUCCACUAAUCCAUAAUUCGUACAAUGAGUGACUUGGCUUUCUCACAUCUAGCCACGUGCCAUGUUCUAUCCAUUUUCCCAUACCUUUUUGGGACCCUCACAAAAGACAAUCCAAGUUUUGGAUUAGAUGGUCAUGGUCAUAUCAAAAAGUGCAACUUUUCCUUUUAUGUGGUUCACAAUUCAUCUCUUUCCUUAUAAACCUUCUCCCACUUUCCCUUCAUCUUUGCAAGAAAGAAAAUUUGAUCACAUCCUUUACAAAGUUAUGGAAGCUUGUUUUGUCACCUCCAAACCCACUUCUUUCCCUAUUCAUACAAGAAGAUCACCAACCCCAUCAUCUCUCAAAAUAUCAUGUAAGUUCUGAUUCCUCUCUCUCUCUCUCUUCUUUUUGCUGUUUCUUUCGUGUUUGUUACGUGGAAUUCUCUAACACACUUAUUGUUGUUUACUUUUCAGGUUGUCAAUUUAGAUCACCCUUAUCAGGAGGAGAGGAAGAUGAUUGGAGAUCGUUUAGAGCGAAAUUGAUUGCCACUCAAAAACUAUCAACGCCUCAGAUUUCAUCUUCUUUUGUGGAUCUUGACACGGUAGUGGAUCAUCCACCGUCGGUCUCCCUAGGUGAGAAAUGGGCUCAUGUCAUUCAUGGACCGGAAAAGGGAUGUCUUCUAAUAGCUACAGAGAAGCUUGAUGGAGUACACAUAUUCGAACGAACGGUGAUUCUUUUGUUAAACAAUGGGCAGUUAGGUCCAUCAGGGAUCAUACUAAACAGACCCUCGUUGAUGUCCAUUAAGGAAACGAGGUCGACGGCGCUGGAUGUUGCCGGGACGUUCUCGGAGCAGGCAUUGUACUUUGGCGGGCCAUUGGAAGGAGGAGUGUUUCUAGUGAGCCCAAAGACAAAUGGGGAAGAUGGGGUUGGAAAGAGUGGGGUUUUUGAGGAAGUAAUGAAAGGGAUGUAUUAUGGGACUAAAGAAAGCGUUGGAUGUGCAGCAGAAAUGGUGAAGAGAAAUCUUGUUGGGGCUGAAGAUUUUAGGUUCUUUGAUGGGUAUUGUGGUUGGGAAAAGGACCAAUUGAAAGAUGAAAUUAAAGCUGGUUAUUGGACCGUGGCUGCUUGUAGUCCUAAUUUAAUUCAAAUGGAUGUGGGAAAUGUGGGACUUUGGGACAACUUACUCAGCCUUUUGGGCCCUAAAAAGGUUUGGUGAAGUUAUGAUACCAAUUUCAUGAUAUCUAAACAUUUUCCACACAGAGGAACUUAAUGUGUAAAUUUGAAACAAUGGUUUGUCAGUUUGAAAAAGUGCAAUUUAUGAAAUAUUAGUUAACAUCCACCUAAUUUUAUGCAAUUUGGUUGCAUUAAUACAUCACAUGCAGUGUAAUGAGAUUUAAUAUUUGGAGAACUCCUUGCGUGAUCUACCUUCUUCGUUAAUCACAAUUGAAAUUCUAUUACACAUGUCUACAGACCUCAACUGACAUUGAUUUGGCUUAGAAGAUCACCUGCUAUGAAUUAAAUCUUUUCUAGAAGUUGAUUGUUACUUUACCUAAUUUGUUGGGUUUCGUUUGUUUUUAUCUUCUCAAUUAUAGAACAUCUCAUAUGUGGUCACAAUUUGAGCACAAGACGUUUUAGAGAAAGCACAUAUAUAUACCUAAAUGUUUAGACCAUUAAGAUAUGCUCUUUCCACAUUGCAAUUAUCAUUUAUUCUAUUAAGUUCAUUAGGAACAGAACUUAGAUUUUUCUAAUGUAAUUUCUUUAUCACAAACUACUUGAUAAAUUGUUCCCAACAAAUUUACAAUCUCAUUUGUAAUGUCUUUCGAAAUGUUUAAAGAUACUUCUUUUAUAUUUAAAACAUUAACUACUUAGCAAGUUAUUCCAAACAUUAACUCCAUUUUUCAAGAGGAGUGAGAUUUUGUAAGAGAAAAAGAGAUCAAAGAGUGAAAAAUACGUGUAGAUGCGUUUCAUUUACAACUGAAAAACACUCAAACAAAUACAUUUCAUGGAAAUGAAAAACAAAAAAAUACGUUUCAUUCUUGAAAUUACAUUCAUUUUCAAUUCCAUAUCUUUCUUGAGAAACACGAUCUAACAUCAAAUAGAGAAAAUAAACACUUCAUCUCACACUUGACACUGAAACAUUUUCCAACAAAUGAGAAACAGUCUCCACUUUCAUUUCCAAUUCCAUGUCUUUCUUGGGAGAUGGAUAUAGAAUCAUAUGGAAAAUGAUAUGAAUGAAUGGGUUUUGAAGAAAGAGUUCAAGAAUUGGAGGCAGAAGCAGCAAUUCACUAUUCAAGAUGAUCAUGUGGUCUGAAUGACAUGAACAUUGCAGCAUACUGCAAAAGCCGACGUUCAGUGCUUCCAUUUUCCACCACAGCUAUCACUGGACGCCUCAUCCGUUUUCUGUAUCGACGCCAAGCAAGUUGUAUGUUAACAGCAGCCCAUGUUCUCCAGUUGGAAGAGUAAAAUCUUGCUGUUCUCUUCAGUCUCUCAUUCGCGAAUUUGUAGCGGAAGUGAUCGGUUAUGUACUUCAGAUGGUCUGCUUUCAGGGCAAAUGCUUCUGUUGGUUCAAUGCAAACAAAUGUAGCGGAUGAAGCUGGAAGUCUCUCCAGAAAUGGGCGACGAAGACACCACGAUAGCAGUUCGUCACCAAGAAAUCCUCCCGGUUCAAUAAAACUUGUCGCUGUCAUGCCCUUGCUCAGGCUUUGGCUACGUUUUACUCGUCCACACACUAUGAAUAACAUCCUUGGAACAGGAUCUCCUUCUCUGAUUAUCUGUGUUUUAAGGAAAUAUUAACAUUCAUCUAUCUUCCGACUCGUUUGAAAUGACUUUUUAAGUGCUUAAAAAUAUUUUUUUAGCAAAGGAUGACAUUCCACGUGUCUUCGUUCAAAUAUGUACCUUUUCAUCUUUGGAGAAUACAAGUGGCUUGACUUUGUCACAUAUGUUGUCUAGAAUCAGCUCCUCCAGGUUUUGAAAGAGAGGCACCUACACAUUGAUGAUGGUUAAAAAAGGAAACAAAGAACUACCACCGCAAGUUUUCCGUAAUCCUAAAGAGAACUAAGGCCUUAGCUCUCUUUGAUAACAUUUUGAACUUUGUUUUAUAUUUUAAAAAUUAAGCUUAUAAACACUAAUCUCAUCUACUACUUUCUAUUAAUAAUUUCAAACCGAACCUAGUAUUCAGAAACGAAAUUGUUAUCAAAUGUUGUCUACAAUAUCGUAGUUACCUUUCUGAUUAGGUCAACACAAAGAUGACGUUUGAUAUCUCUUCUAAGACCUUCUGGCAAAUCAUUGAUUAGUUCCAUCUCAUCUUCUCCUCCCAUAGCUGCCCAUCUCUGGUGCUCAUAGUGUCGAACUCGAUGUUUCAAACGAGAUGGCAAUUGUCGUCUCCUCAUCCACCACUCCAAAUCUCGACAUCUCAGCUGCAUUUUUCGCCUCCUUGCCAUGACAGCGUGCAAAAGUACCUUUGUAGGUUUUUUUAUUGUUUUUUUUUAUUUUAGCAAUGAGAAGUUAUUAUCAUCAGAAGAAGAAAUUUUUAAUCUAAAUUUGCAUAAUGAACCAAAAAAAAAAAACUCACCUGAAUAUUACCAAUCAAAAGAGUGAAAAGCAACAAUCCACUAAGCACCGUACAAAUACUGAAGCACACUUCCAGCCAAUUACUCGUAGGCUCAAGAUCAUUUCCAAAGGUGCUUCAACAUUUAAACCAUCAUUUAUCAAGAAACAGAAGCUAAAGAAACAGAGUUAGAAAAGCACUUUGCCUCUUUCCUUAAUUACCUGAGAGUCAUUAAUCCCCAAAAGAUAGGAUAAAGGAUUUUGACAGCAACUGAAUUGCUAGAAAUGACAGGAAGAGCCCACUUGUAGAUGCCAUAGGCGAACGGACCAUUAACAUCCAAACAUAGUGGCUUCCUAAACGUAGCAGUCGAAUUCCGACCACACGAACUUCCAAUCGUUGUAUCUGAUGAUAGAAACUGAUAACACACCUCCUCAGAGCAAGACAAAGAUAAGUUGCACUUGUUUCUCUCACAAUGUUGUUGGAUACAAGAAGCAACUCGCUGUAUUGCAAGAACAUACCAACAACCCCCAGCAACCUGUUAACAGCAAAAACAGAUUCAGAAUAAAAAACAAAGUUUAAAGAACUGACUAUGAUGAAAAAUACAAGGUGCGCUUACAUGAGAGGCAAUAAAAUAGGCAAUGAGAUUGAGGCCAAAACCCCACCAAAUGGUGCCAAAGAUGUAUCCAGUAACCUUCUGCAUUCUUCUCAUUAAAAUAAUGGAGUGGUAAACUUUUGGGAGGAAUUGGAACAAGAACAUUAAUAAGAUUACUGUCAUUAUAAGUUUGAUUCUUUCUUCUCUGAUCAGUUUUGGUAAAACCAACCAAUAAACAAUCUGCCAUAAGAAAAGAUGAGCACAGAGGAAGCACAAUCAAAACUUUGAACAUUUUCCUCUUUAAGUUCGCUAAAGGUAAAGAUAUUUUUGUUGAAUUUAGGAAGAAUUAAAGCCUUUUCAUUCAUUAAUAAGAAAAAUACAAAUAUGUUCUUCUGUGAAGCAAUAGGAAUUGAAGUUUGAACUUGAGUUUGAUUUCUUACGUCCCAUUUGAUACCAACUUCAUUUUUAGUUUGUUUUGGAAAUCUACAUUUGUUUCCAUCCAAUUUUCAACCAUAGUUUUCAAGAAAUAAUUAAAAAAAAUAACUAGAUAGUCAUCAAAUGGAGUAUUACAAUAAUUAAGAGAAGAUGAACCAUUCGAUAUUAGAUCGAUGUCAUGAACAUUAAGUUACACAAACACAACAAAAUAAGCACUUUAAUAAUAGAAUUAAAAAAAAAAAAAAAAGAAGAGAGAAGAAGAAGAAAAGUAAACAAAAAGACAAAUACAGAGAUAAAGGUAAUGAUAAUAGAAUUAUGGUUGUACCAUGUUAUGAAAAAGUUAGAACAAAAGAUAAGAACCCAUGACCACUCUAUUAUUGCACCAUCCUAACUGAUUAAGUCAUAUCUUAAAAGUUAAAGUUAGUGAUUAUUUUCAAUAAUUUGACCAACAAAUUCCAUUUUUAUCAAACAACUAGUAAUUAAUGAUAGUUGAUUAUAUCCAAAUGAUUAAUGAUAAUGGAGAUUCAAAUCAAAACCUCUUAGUCAUUAAGAGGUACUCAUUGUCACUUGUAGUAGAUAACUACUAUGCUUGUUUUACUCCAUUCUAACCAUUCAUUUAUGUAUUAUAGAUUACAUUCUCUUAGUUAAAAUAUCAGUUUAACAGUUACUUCAAUUUUAGUAAGAGUUAAAGUUACUACAAUAAUUUCUAUACACAACAAUUAUUAUUAUUGUUAUUAUGUAGACCAAAAUGGUAUUUUAACUAAUUUUUAAAAAAAUCAAAUAAGUUGUUUUAAGUAUCUUUGAAUAACUAUUUAGUUUUUUAUUAUGAUUUUAAAAUGAAGCCCAUGAAUACUCGCUUUUUUAGAAAAAAAAAAAAGGCCAAGUGUUCUUAAUAUACCGAUUAUAUUAAAAAAUGACAUACUCCUAGCAACCAAAAUAUUUACGAUGGACCGUAAUAACAAAAAAAUAUAUUAUUAUUUGUGUCUAUUGUGUUUUUAUAAAUGGUUUUAAAAAAAUUGUCAUAGAAAAAUAAAAAAAUAGAGAGAAGGAAGCAAACCUGAGGAACAGGGAGGAUAACAAAGGCAUCAAACCAAAAGCCUUUGAAAGAACGAACAUAGUGAGAAGCAAUAUCACGUGCAUCCCACACCAGUUUCCCACACCCAAUCACCAUACUCUCUUUCGACACGUAAGCAAGCCUGAACUGAAGCCACACGUGCCACAAGUGCACUAUAUCAAGACACGUUCGAACCACCGUAACUCCGGCAGCCAACCCACCAUCCAUGUACAGGCAAGGCCAUCCUCCUCUUCCAAUAGACAGAGCAUAGAAGUAAAGCGGAUCAACCGCAAGAGACAUUCCCCGGGCCAAUAACAGAACCCGGUUCCAUCUCUGAACCGGUUUCUUUCUUGGGUCCAGAACCGUCCCGAAGCAACCCGCCGAAGAAUGUCGGGGCGCUGGUGAGGAUUUUGUGGGUUGGAUUGGAACCAGGGAAGAGCCCGCGGAGGCUUCCCAUUCGGGUUGUUGGUGGGCGUGGUCGCAGCUGGUGGAGUGGAAGGCUGGAACGCCCACUUGGGUACAGGCGUAGCAUUCCAAGACUGGGGUUGCGUCGGCGGCGACAUUGAGAGGAGGCGGUGAUGGCCUCAGACAAAGCUCGCUCCACCUGAAAAGGGGGAAGGAGAAAUCGGUUAGUGAGAGAGAAAAGGGAAAUAAUGGAAAUUAGAAGGAAGUAGUAGUACGGACAUGGAAGAAGGCAUGGGGAAACCACCAUGGGAGAGAGUGGAUUUAGAAGAAGAAGAAGAAGAAGAAGGGACAUGAGAGUAGUGAAGAAGGAGAUUGAGAAUUGAGAUAGAGAUUGGGAAUGAAACUGAUUUGUGAAGAAGAGAGGCUUAGAAUUAGGAAUAAAUGAUGAAGGAAGGUUUAGGGAAGAGGGAAGCAGGGGGAGGCGGUACUGUGGUGGUGGGGGCUCCGUAUUUUUGUCACUCCAAAUCCAAUCCUGAGUUGGUUAAUUGUGUUGACGCGGAUAAAGAUUGAUCGAAUUGAGCUUACUAAUACCAUCAACACCAACCGAACCGAACCAUUUACGCUCAAUACACAUACUCUAAGUUUGGUUAGCUUAAGUAGUAAAGAGUAAACACGAUAACAAGAAAGAUAAAUGAGUAUGAAACGGUAAGCAAUAAAAAGUGUCAUCCUGGAAAUAGAAUGAUAUCAUUAACUAUCAAUUAUCAUUACCCUUAAUUAUGGUGGCAUUAGGAAGUAUUUUAGAGAUAAUAAUUAGAAAUUUUGUUUUAAAUGAUAAACUACCGAUAAUAUUUAUAAAUAUAACAAAAUAUCACAUUUUAUCAUUUAUAGAUGAUAAUAUUGUAUCAAUGUUGAUAACAAUGAUAUUUUUCUACAUUAAAAUGUUUUAGUUCAUUUUAGUAUAUUGUGGAGGAAGGAGUCGGUCGCUAGAGUCCAAAGUUAAAAAUGUUGUCACUUCACAAGCUAAUAAACCUAUUCAAGAUAUCUUCAACCUUAUGUACUACAAAUCUUUCCAACUUUUUAUACCUCUAAUCAUUCCAAAUAUUGAAUACUUACUACAAUUAGCUUGAAACACUUAACUCGGGGUUAGAUUUUGAAUUUUGGAUACUCCAAAUAAAUUUAUAAUGUUCUAGAAGUGAAUCAAAUGAAUGUGGUUGAUCAAAUUAUUAGCAAUUAUUUAGAGAGAGCUGAAUAUUAGAGAGUUUGAAAAGUGUGGUUUCCUAAUGGUUACUUGACUAAUUAAUUAAUUUAAUCGUUAUUAAUGAAUUCAAUCACACGCGUAAUUUUGAUAGAUGAGAACAAUGGGUGAUAAUUCAUCAACUGUAAAAGUAAAUAUUUAAAUUGAUUUUGUAGGAUGGAGUGAUAGUAAAAUUUCUAAAAUUGCUUUCACGUAGAUGCAAAAUCUCAUACCAAUAUAUUAUUGAACUUAGAUGUUUGAUCCCCUUUCCUAUACCAUUAAUUUCCACAAAACCAAUCUUUAAAAAGUUUUAAAUUUGUAAUUUACUAUUCUUGCAAGUAAAAUAUUAAUUGAAAAGAUGGUUUAAUUAUUUGGUUUAAAAUCCUCCACUUUCUAUUGUCAUAAUCUCUUUCCUAAACACAAUUAACAAUACUUUUCUUCCAAAUAGAGCAAGUCUAAAAUGUAAUAUAAAUUUGAGUGAACUUUGUUGUUUCAUAUAUUUGAGUGAACUUUGUUGUUUCAUAUAUUAUAUAUGGAUGAUGUAAAAAUACGACAAAAACAGUUCAAAUUUAGAGAGUUUUGGUUGAGAUAUUAUUUAAUUAAAACUUUGUUGUUAGAUUGAUUAAUGAAUUAAAUUUCACGUCGAGUUUUUGCUUUCAAGAUAAUCAAAAGAGCUUUUUUUUUCUUCUAAUUUUGCAACAUAAUUCAUUUAUUGAGUUGGAUGUGAAUAAUAUUAGAAUGACACUAAUAAUCAUAUUUUGUUGACGGUUUGAAUUAGGGUUAAAGAAACUUGUUCUUCAUCUCAAAUUUUUUGAUAGGCUAUUAAUGUCUAAUCCAAUUAUUAAGCUUUAGUAUUUGAGAAGUAGGGCAAGAUUCGUGUAUGUACCAAAAAAAUUCUCGUAUCAAAAUAAAUAUUUAUAAUUCAUUUUUUUUUAUAUCAUAAUUUCAUUGUCACUCCUUAACAUAAUAGACAAAUUAGUUCAUUUACAUUUUACACCAAUCUGCCAAUUUGUAAUUAAGAAGUGUGCAUUUGUUAUCUUACAAAAGCCUAAUUCAAAAAAAAACCAUCACAUAUUUUUAGAAAACCCAUCUCAUUAUUUCUCAAAUAAUAAUGUAUAUAUAAAAGAAAACAAUAAUUUAAUUAAGUUGGCCUUUCAUUUGGCCCUUGGCCUUUGGGAGGAAGGGGCUUAUAAUAUAUCUCUCCAAUUUUGUGGAAUGUAUAUAUUGAGUGAAUUUUUUUAUAAAAAAUUGGGAAAUUAUAUUAUAAGAGAUAUAUAUCUAAUCCCAAGCAAUGGGAAAAACCAAAAAGAAAUUUUGGUGUUUUUUUAUAAGAAAAAAAAUGGAAAAAAAGCUGCAGUUCUUUUAUUUGGGUCCCAAAAGAACAUGCACACCACCAAAGGAAUUUGCCCAUAAAUUGAAACCUUCAUACCAAAUCUCCAUACUCACCCUUUUAACCAUAUUCUCUUUGUAUACAAAUUGAAUUUGUCAACCUCAACAUACACACAUCAACCCCUUUGUUGUUUCUGUUGGAGAUAUUAUUACAAAUAACAACCAUAAUCAACUUAAUUAAUAUUGAGAACAUCUUUCUUUUGGUAGAUUAAAAACUAAUAAAGAGAAAGUAAAAAAAGAAUAAUACGUUGAAAAUAAUCUUGGUUGAUGUGUGCAUUGAGAGAAAGGGAAAAGUUCUUUUUAUAGUGGAAUUUUGCAUCAAGUAUUAAUUAUACGUUAUCAAUAUUAUUUCAAAAAAAUUCACUACGUUUUUGUAUGAUCACAAAUUUGGAAAAUGACACAUCAUGUAAUUUUCUAAACAUAUAUAUAUAUAUUACAAAAACAUCGUACCCUUUUCCGUAAUUUUACUUUUAAAAAAAGUUUAGACAAUGAAAAUAUUAGGUAUAGACUUUAAGGUAUAUAUGCAUGAUAAAGACCCAAAUAGCUAGUGGUACAUGUAACUAUUUUUGAUGUUAUAGGAAAUCAACUUUCAAAGUUAUAAAGCAAUCAAUCAUUUGAGUUAUUAUUAUUUACUAAGAGGUUAGAAUUGUCAUUUUGAAAAUUAAAAUAGAGAAUAAGACAUUUUUAUGCCCCACCAAAACUUCUAUAGCAAAGUGAUGAGGACCUACCCAUUUGAGCACAGUGUGUAUAAUAUAAUGUUUGAUUGAUUACUAUUUCAAAAUUAUUAAAACAAUGUCUUUUUCUUUAUAUGGUCCCUUUUAGUCAUUAUAGAGAAUGAUUGUUCACUCAAUUCUUAUCAUAAAAUUUUAUUCAUACACGACAUGUCAUUGGAUAGAUCAGAUUUUAAAUCUCGAAAUUGAUAGGAGAGAUAGUUAACUUAUAUUCAGCGUGAACAAUAAUAUAAUAUUUUUGUAACUAUUUCUUUUUCUUUUUCAAUAAUAUCACAAAAGACGAAUAAGAAAACAAAACUAUUCGAGACUUUGUGAUGAUUCAAAAUGUGAAGAUGAUAAUCAAAUUAUUCCAAAAUUUGAUCUUUUAUUUAUUUUUGCCCUUUUAGCUUUAGAAAAGAGAACGAACAUUUUAAAUAGAUUGUUUAGUUUCGAGUUGUGAAAUAUAUUAAAUAAUGAGUUGUUCAUCUUUUUUGUUUUAGAAAAAAAUAUAUACAUUGAAUCGUAGGUAAGAUAUGUGUCACAUACGUCAAAAUAAAAACAAAUACAUCAAAUCAAUACAUACCACCAUAUGUGUUUGAUUUGAAUUCUUUGCCUUACACGAAGUAUAUAUGCUUCCGGGCUCGAACUACAUUUUCUUUCAAUGUUUUAUAUUGUUUUUUACCAUAUAAUAUAAGCAAUGUUCUACGAGUAUUUAUAAAGAAUUAGAAAAAAGAUAUUCAAUACGGAUGUGUUGAAUAAGAAAUUUUGAGACCAAUCAUAAAUUGUCACAUCAUUUAUUAAGUUGAUGAAAAGUACAAAUAAAUAAAUUUAUGACUAAUUAAAAUUGACAUGUGCCCCAAAUUAAAGAAUUGAAAAACAUAAAUUGACCAUUUUAAUAAUGUCACAUGUUUUCAUCUUAACGAUUAGAUUAAGUUAAAAUCCACGAAUUAAAUAAGAACUCUAUAAAUAGAGAAAUUCUUCUCAUUUGUAAGGGUUGAAAUUUUUUUUACUCCAUAAGGUCUAUAGAGAAUUUUUUCAAAAACUACAAGACUUCCCAACUCCUAAAGUCGACCACCCUCGAAGAUUGAAACUCAUUUGAAGAUACAAACUUUCUUCCAACUUCAAGAAGAUCAGAUGUUCCACUUCCUCAAAUCAAGCGUAAGCAUUCAACCAACUUGAAGAACAUUAUGUGCUUCGCUUCUCCAAAUCAAGCGUAGACGUUCAACAAACUUCAAGAACGUCACAUGUUUCGCUUCCUCCAAAUCAAGUGUGUAGGCAUCCAGUCGAGAGCGAAUCAGAUGAUCAAAUUUUAGAGAUUGAACCGCAUCGCAUCAAAUCAACAAAGAUACAGCAUCAACUCCAAGUUCAAAUCCACGAAUUAAAUUUAUUCAAAAAUUUCAUGUAAACAAGAUGUCAAACUCUUCAUUUUACGAAUAUAUAAUUGAGAUAUUGAUGAAUAUUGUUCUCAUCAUCUGUCAAAACAAACCUUUCGGACACAUCGACAAUGAAACGUUGGAACGAAGAUUAAUUGUCCCAACUUAUUUUACACACAAAUAUAUGUGUUAAAAUUUUGCAACCACACAUAAAUAUAUGCCGCGGAUCUCUUUGGUUGUUUCUACACGUGAAGUUUCACAUCACAACCCUACAACUACGAAUGGGUCCUUCCACAUAUUUUGUAAAUUUUGUGAAAAACACAAAUACAUUGACAUAAAAAAAGUUUUGAAUCAAAUUUGCUUCCAACUGUGGAUUUAAUGAAAAAGACAAAACUUUAUUAUUACGAAUAUCAUUAUUGUUCUUUCCCUCACUUUGGUUAAUUAUAAUUGUAAUGUUGUAUGAUCAUAAAAUCGGUUUGGUUUUCGUUUCUCAAAAAUCGGUUUUAUUUUGUCUUUUGGUUUAGAAUUUAGGUUUUUUUUUUUUUUUUUUUUUUGUUUUAAAAGAUUAAAUUAGACUAACCAUUGUUUUCAUCCAUUAGUUUCCAUGUUUUGUUGUUUAUAUUUUCGAGGUGUUUUUGAAAUAAGAACUAAAGUUUUUUGUUUUAAAGUUACAUUUUGUUUUUGAAAAAAUGGUCGAGAAUUCAAACACAUACAUAGAAAAAUGUGAAAACUAAGUUGUAAAUGUUUAAUAAAUAGAACCUAAAUCUUUAAAGUUUGAUUUUGAUUUUCUUGAGAAGCAUUGGUAGAAGUGGGUGAGAGGUAAUUUAGGGAAUUUUCAAAAGAGAAAAUAAAAAGGAAAAUCUUUUUAAACCUAAAAUUUUGUAUAUUUGUAUUUGAUAUUAUUUUGAAGUUUAAGUUUUGAGUUUAAUUUGUUUUAAGUAUUAUAAAUGGUGUUCUUAAAAUAAAAAAGAAAAAAGUUACAAGUUGGGGAAAUCCAAAUGCAACUUUCAAUUACAAAAAAAAUAGUUAUUGAAGAAGCAAUUCAAACUGGCAAAAAUUAGAAAUGUUUUCCUUUUCUCUUUCAUUUUAUUCAUAUUAUGCAUAAAUAAUAAAUGUUAUUUGUCAUUGGAAUAAAUAUUUAUAUGUACAAAGACAUAUAUAUAGAAAAACAACAAAAAAUAAUACAAAAAUAGAAUGAAACUAUAUGGAUUGGGGACAGCUAAUUUGCAAGUAUUAUUGUAAAUGGAAAAGAUUCUCAAUUGGUCACAAUCGCUCUCUCCUAUAAUUUUGAAUUAUACGAAUUCUAAAUCAACAUCUUACACACAGUAGUGGCAGAUUCAGAAAUCAUACGUAGAGAACACUAUAUAACAAAAAAAAAAAAUCAUAUAUAGAAAAACACUAUAUAACAAAAAAAUCAUAUGGUAAUAAAAAAAUUAUUUUUAGUGUAGUAAAAUUGAAAAUAAAAUUUAUUCAUAUUUUUAGUUAUGCUUGAAAAAAUAAUUAAAAACAUAUUUUAUAAAAUGAUUUUUUUUAUAAAUAGAACAAAGCACAAAAAAUAUUUAUACCGUAUAGAACAGUUUUGAAGAAAAAAAACCCACAAGCCCAUAACGUGAAAUAACAAAAAUAUCUUGCAAUUAAUGAAUUACACACUCGUGAAAAAAACGAUUUUGUACCAGUUUAGUACACGAUCUUGUACUCUUGUACCAAAUCUAAACGAUAUUGUACCAAAUCUAGACGAUCUAUUAGUGAUAGUGAUGUAUGUCUAUAUAGGAUAGAUAACUGAUUAUUUAGAUAUUGAUACACAAUAGAUAUUCGUACACGAUUGUUUAAGAUCUUAUAUCUAUAUCAUUUAUAUCUUGUACCAAGGAGAAAAAAAGAAGAUAGAUGAAAAAAAUUAUGGAAGAGCAAAUGAAGAAGUUGCAAAUAAGAAGAAGAAAAAGUAAUAACACUGACCGAGAAGAAUAGAUUAGAAAAAAUAAGAAAGAAAAGUAAAGUGAAAAAUGAUCUCACGAUAUUAAAAAGACUACAAACCGUAAAUAUGAAAUUUAUAAAAGAAUUGGUAGGAUGAUGAGGUUGUUGCCCGGGUCGUAAAUAUUUUUAAAAUUCAUUUUAUUUUUUAUUUAUAAAUAUUUUAAUUUUUAAGGCAAAUUAUUUGAGCAACCAUUUAAUGGGUCCAAAGUCUCAAAUGGGCUAAUAAUUUGGAUAGGGCCGGCCCAAUAAUCUCAUUCAAGAUAUUCGUUUAUAUAAUAAUAAUAAUUUUAUUCCAUCCACAAUAAAUAUAAAAUUAACUAAAAAUUCCACCUGAGAAAAAGCGAAUAAUCAUCCUCCACGUGUCGAAAAAUCAACCUGGAGUUUGCCAUCUUCCUCGACGAACAAUCAAUCUUUCAGAGUGAAAGUAAACGAAAAAAACGAACAAAUUUGUUAAAAGAGAAAUGACAGCAGCCAUUGCUGUUUCUUUUCCCAAAUCCGCCAUUUUAUGGCAAAACCCAUUCUCUCGCAAAGACCCUGUUCCCAAUUUUCUUGGCCGCUCGUUUAAGGGUUUCACUAAAUCGAGGACGAAACUUCAUCCUCUAGGUCUAAUUGUUGCUUCCUCCACUUCAUCUAGUAGUAGCGAUGGAAGUGUCAGUGAAAGAUUCUACUUCAAUUUCACUGGGUUCCCUUUUCCUCUUGGCCCCUUUCUUAAUCGCCGUACUAUUAGAACCGAGGUUAAACGUUUAACCAUUUACCCUUUUCUCUCAUUUCUUCAUCUGGGUCUGUUUGAUUUGAUGGAGUCUAUUGAUGAUAUUGUAUAAUUGAAGAUAUGGGUAUGUGGGUAUAUGUUAUUUAUUAUUUUUAGCUUGUGUAGGUUUGAAUUUUUUAUAUCUUUCGUUUGUUUUUUAGGCUGUGAAAGGUUCUAUAUGGCUUUUUGAGCAAGAACAAGCGUUGGGUUUCAGUAGUGUCUCAACAAACAUUAGGAUGACAGUCAUCAAACUCAAAUCUGGUGGCUUAUGGGUCCAUGCACCCAUUGCUCCGACCAAGGAGUGUAUUCAGGUUCUAUUUCUACUUCAACUCUGUUAAAUUUAUAUUCCCUCGGUAGCCUAAGUUCUUGAGUGAAUGGUUGAUUUAAGAUGGUAUCAAAGUUAGGUCCAAAAGGUUCUAUUUUCAAACUCUUGUAACGUCAUUUCCUCUUUAAGAUUAUUGAUUUGAUUUCACUCGUUGAUAAUUGAAUUCACUCAUUGGUCUUCUACAUAUUUCAAGCUAAAGAGUGAGUGGAUUAUUAGAUGAUACAAUAUUAAAUCAACCUUCACCAAUUUACUUAAACUUUUAGGUCAAUCAAUGAUAUACCAUACUCGUCGAUGGUAGGAUUUGCAUUUACCUACAACAUGUCUAGUUGAGAUUCGCGUGUUUACCAUUCAAUAAAACAGGGAGGCAAUAACAUCAUUUCAGCUUAAGUUUGUGGAUCGAACUACGAGACUGUAUGUAAGUUGCCAAGUUUUUUCAUCUUGACAGCUUCUGAAAGAGUUGGAUGCUCCCGUAGAGUACAUUAUUUUACCAACAUUUGCAUAUGAGCACAAGAUAUUUGUUGGGCCGUUUUCAAGAAAGUUCCCACGUGCUCAGAUAUGGGUGGCACCAAGGCAAUGGAGUUGGCCAUUGAACUUGCCAUUGGAAUUUUUGGGGAUUUUUCGGGCUAAAACAUUGAAAGACGAGGAUUUAUCUGCUCCAUGGGCCGAUGAGAUUGAACAGAAAGUCUUAAGCUCGCCAGAAGUUGGUACAAAAAACUGCCCACAUAGUAUUACGUUGAAUCUCUUAGUUACUAUUGAAAGCUUAACUUUCUUGUUUGUUGCAGGGAUUGGACCAUAUGUGGAGGUUGCUUUUUAUCAUAAGCGAUCAAGAACACUGCUGGUGACAGAUGCUGUGAUCUUUGUCCCUAGACAGCCGCCCGAAUGCAUUAGCAAAGAAUCGUUAUUGGCAUCAGCAAAGAACGGUUUGGCAGUAAAACUAUUAAGUAAGGGAAAGGAAGUCCCUGAAGAGCAAGUUGUUGACAACAAGAACAACCGUCAAAAAGGUUCGGUCCCCUGCCUUCGACACCUCAAGAUUUAAUUCUUAGUUUAGCUCUAUCACGAUAAAAUCAAGAUUAAUUUAAGUUAUGUUUGAAGAAUUGGGGACUGGUUAUGCAGGGUGGGAAAGAAUGGUACUUCAGAUAUUGUUCCUUGGGCCUUCAAAUCUCUUGGAACCUAAGGCUAGUUUUGCUCAAAUGUCACAGAAGCUUAUUGUUUCACCCAUAGUAAAGACUCUUGUCUUCAGCAAAGUUCCUGAAAAGGUAAUCAACCACAUAUCACAAAUUUUCUCCUUGAAAACCAUAUAUGCAAAAGGAUUAUAAAAGUUCGGUAAAUCUAUACCUUUUAAUGUCUCAUACUAAUUCUGCUUUCAGGUAAGGGACUGGAUUGAUAGAAUUGUCCGAGAUUGGAAGUUCAAGAGAAUCAUCCCUGCUCACUUUGCAGCUCCAGUAAAUGCAAGUACUUCUGAUUUCUUAACUGCAUUCGGCUUUCUCGACGACCUUUUGGGUGAGCGCUAUGUCAACCGACCUUCACUCUCCCUUCUCUUUGCAUCACUCAUGGGGAAGGCUGCCAGUUACUUUCCACCAGAUGAUAUGAAGACCUUAUCAUCACUUGACCAGUUCUUAGUAUCGGUCGGAGCCGUGAAAAAGACCGUAUCGGGCAGAAAAAGGUAGCCUAGGGAAGACAAUGUCUCAAAGAUACCAGGUAAAGUUUAGCACACUCAUAUAUAAUUCAGUAAUGUAGAUUCACCAACCAAUGUUCUAUCUCUGACACUAAGAAGGUAAUCUGUUAUUUCCAAUGAGAAAAAGGAAGAAUAUGGAAAGUGAUUUGAUAUCCAAUUAGAAGAAAAUAUAUAGUGCACAAUUCAUGGUUGCAUACUACUUUGCAUUCUUUUAUGUUUCCAAACUUCAGAGGCUAAUCAACAAAACUAGUUUGCUUAUGGAAGAAAGUAGAAAAUUUGAAUGGUUUUCUCAGGUUGACAUCUAACUCUCAGAUUGAAAAGUUUCUAAUAGGUAAUAGUUUAAUACAUUUUUCAUCAACUCAAUAUUUUUGUAGAAUUCACAUAUCUAUUUAAACACAAAAACAUUGUCAAAGUUUACAUAUUAGUCACAAAAAAUAUAAUAUUUAAAAAAUUUAAAGACCCUAAAGUACCCUAACUUUGAGUGUUUGAUCUAACUUUUGUUAUAUCUACAAAUUAUUUUACACAAUCUUUGACAUUUAGGAUUCAAUUGCUAUAUUUGCAUUUAUUGCUAAAUAGGACUAAAUUGUGAUCUUUCAUCUCGACCGUCUUAUAACAUAUUUUAUUAAGAAAAUGAUUGAGCUACGUUAUAAUAAUUGUUUUAUGAAAUGAGAACCAAACAAAGAGAUGUUUAUUUUUUUAGUAAGUUAGAAGGUUUCCUUGGUGCCAAAGUCUAAAUGGGGAAAACAUCCAAGCAAGCAAGUAGAGAAAACAGAUGGUCAACCUACCAACCAUACAAAUAUUAAUCAAAGAAAAAUGUGGAAGAUUUUGUCACAAUCAAGUUAGGUUAUUGUAAUUAAUCACUUCCAUUUUUCACCUUCUAUGUAAAAAUAAAAUUUCAACAUAGAAAGGAUUUUGAAUUAGUCAUAAUAAUUGACCAAUCACCAUCCAUACCUUUCACACAAAUUGGGAGAUUAAAUAACUUUUAUAACAUUUGACCAUAUAAUAUAUGGUAAUGAAAGUGUAUAUUCAAUGUAUAUAUUUUUCUCCCAUUUUUAAAUCUUAUUCUAUAAAGUCAAUAAGACUUUCUUAGCUUACGCAAUACAGUUUAAUUUAUGAAUCUUAUUUUUUAUUUAAACUCUACUAUCAAUUUGAUUAUUAAACUUUAAAACAUAUUUAAUAAGUUUAUGAAUUUUUAGAGUUGUAUGUUUAUCAUUUAUAUUUAAAAGGUCUUUAAAAAUUCAAAUUUAUUUACGUUAAAUAAAUAUUGAGUUUAAUUUUAUUAUUUAAUAUAUCAUAUAAUUCAAAUAAUCAAAUAUGUCAAACUUCACUAAUUUAUAGUUGAAACCCUACUAAAUACUUUUUUAAACAAUGGCACUUUCUUUUAUAUAUAUAUAUAUAUAUAAAUUUUCUUUAUAGUUCUUGAAUUUUAAAAAAAUAGGUGUUUGAAUUUUUAGUUUUUAAAUAAAAUAUUUUCUUUUUGUGGUAGAUGUAUUUAAUGUCUAAAUUUAAAAAAGUACUAUUUUAGCAUCUAACUUUUGAAGAGUAACCUUAGAAACCUCCGAUAUUUUUUUAUAUAAUUAUAUGACAAUUUGAAACAAUAACAAUAAAUUAGAGUAGAAAGGUUGAUUUUCAAAACUUAAAAAUGAAAUGCAACUAAAAAUGUAUUGAUUGAAAAUCCUAAUUUUAGUUUUGUGAAGGGUGUGAUUUGGAAAUUUGGAAGGAUAUGUAUAUUGUAUCCAACAUUGGGAAUAAGGAAGAUUGCACUUGACCAAUUAAUUUGAUCAUCCAAAAGUGUGAGCUCUUUAAUUUCCUUUUUCUUUGUGAAAGGUGGGAUGGCAACAAACAAUCUAAUCUAACCCAUAUGCAUCUUUUCAAAAUAAUUUAAAAGAAAAAAACAAUAAAAAGUUAUGGGACACCAAAGUUGUUCCCUCAUUAUCAUUAUUUUCUUGCGGUUGAAAAAAAAACAUUGGGAGAGAAUAUAUAUAUGAAAUAAAAUGGACUUUAUUUAUUGUUGUGUACUUAGAAAUUUGAAAGUAACAACUUGGUUUUCCCCCUUUUAGAUGAUAGAGUUACAAAUUUAAUAACUACAAGUUAGGUCUAACUAUAUUGUUAAAUACAUUGAAUUUGAAGCUAACAAAACUUAAAUGAUAUUAAUGUAUUUUUAAUUCACUAGACUUAUUAAGCAAUUUUCUUAGACUUGGUUAUUUAUUUCUAAUACAAGAAUUCUCAAACUCUUAUGUUAAUUAUUGAAUUAUGAUAUUGUGACAUAAAUAAGAAGCCAAAACUUGGCGGGAAAGGUAAUUUCUCUUAUAAGAAAGCAAAAUUAAUGUGAAGAUGGAUUUCUUUGGGAAAUUGAGGAAAUACCAUCUAUGGAAGAUUGGAAAUUAAAGUUUGAACAAAACCCGUUUUUGUUUUCUAUGAAAUAUUAUUAAUUUUGAAUGGAUUCGGUUUCAUGGGUUCCUCAAAAUCAGAGCAGGUUCCUUUUUUUCUCCCCCACUGCAACCGAUUCCUUUUGGAGGGACCCUUUUCUCUGGCUGAGAGCUAUUUCUCCCCCUUUGUUUUUAACUUACAUUCUGUGUGUAACCAACGCGGAGAUGAAUAAGAAAAGCCUACCGAACGGGGAAGAAAUAGUAGUACACAGUUGCUUGCACGAUCUCCAAAGCGAUUCGAAACCGACUUUUUUGUUCUUCAUUAAACAAUUAAAGGAAUUCCCAAGACACGCUCGACUCUAAAAGACUGGACCCUUUUUUUUUUUUUUUUUUAAUUCUUUCCUCCCAUUGCUUCCAUUUUCAGCGCCGUAUUCAAUUCAUUCAUUCGUUUCUUCCUCUUGGGUUUCCCUUUUCUAUGCUUCCUGGUGAUUUCAAGACAAGGGUUUUCGUUUUUCUUGCCUAAUAACGAAGGCCCAUUUCAUUCGAUUCUAAGUUGUGCCUCUCUGACGCGGUUUUUUUUUAUUCGGUAAGUAAAUAAUGGAUCAUUUUUUUAUUUGUUUCUGAAAUGGGGUUGUGAUUUUUUUUUCCUGUUCGGUUUCCGAAUCAUCGAUAUGCUGGUUUGUCUGAAAAUAUGCCCUUUGGGUGUUUGGUUAAUGGCCAUCUCGUGUUUUCUUCCUGUUUUGUGACGUUGAUUGCUAUGAUUAUUGACCAUUUUAAUAUGGGGCUCACAUCCUUGGGUCGAGCGUCGAGUGCUUUAGUUUCCUUUCUGCCUUAAUGACCGAGAUGGGUUCAAUUGAUAGAAAAGGGGAAUGUCAUUGGACUUGAUCUGGGUUGUGCUCUGUUUUUCAGUUUAAGAUUAAUGUAUUGGAAUUGGAAGGGAUUGGUAAUGUCUCCAAUUAUUAUGGGUUGAUUUUGUCAGGUUCUAUCUUGUUUCUUCUCAAACUUUUGAGUUUGUCCAAGCAUUAGUGAUGUUUGUCCUGUGCGCGAGCUUGUCUGUUUCUAGCAUUUCCUGUUCACUCUAUGGCAGAAUUCCAGGGACAAGACAACCUUUGUCUUCUUUCUUGUGAUUUCAUACUGACAUUUGUAUUUACGUCUUACAAUUAUUUUGCUUCCUAUGUUGGAUGUUUUACAAACGUGAAAGGGCGUUUCUUGUUCAUUGUUCAUGAAGCUUGUGGGGAAUAAACUGAUUCUUUUUCAGAAGGAUCAUUUUCAUCUAUGGAUUCGUUUUCUUCCUUGGAUGUAAAUUGUUGCAUUUAAUUUUAUAUUUGUCGUGUUUUUCUGUCUUUCCAUUUAUGUUAUUGAUGUUUUAAAGGGUGAUAUAAAUGCUGAUUAAUAUAACGUCUUUGUUUUGUUUUCUAGUUUUUAUUUUGUAAGAACGCAUGGGGUUAACCUUGAUGAGAAAGUACUUAUUGUAUGAGUUCUUGUACUUAUAUAUAUGUCUCUUGGAGUUAUUUUGAGCACUCAAUUUCUAUUUUUGAGCAAAAGUGUAUCCUUUUUUAUGAUGGUAGUUGGUAGUCGUUGGAGACUUGUGUAGCCCUUUUUUUUUUCUUUUUUCCUGCUUGAUAUAUUUAUUUGUUUCUCAUAUGAUACCUCUAGUUGUUGAUGCUAACCAGUUUCAAUAUUGGUUGCUCGAGACUGAGAUUCUUGGGGAAAUUUUUUUGGACCACUGAAACCAUCGUUAUGAUUAGAUCUUGUUUGGUUUCUACUAUUCAUCUUGCCUUCAAAUUGAUCCACGUCAAGAACUUUCUAUUAAGCCUGUUAAGUUAUUAGUGUGCUAUUGUUUUUAUUCAGGUGCUGUGUGAAAUUCUGAUGGCUGAGAAGGGUGAUGUGCCGGUGACUCUUGAAACGAUUGGUACUCCUGGUACUUAUCCGAGAAGAAGCUCUAUGGGAUGUACAAGUUAUUCAAAUAGUGUAGAAAAGCUUGUGCCUAAUUAUCUAAGAGCAUCUACUGGUUCCUGUCAUGAUUUUUGCAAAUAUGGAAGAAAUCACGGUUUCGAAACUAAGUCAAGACUACCAUUGCGCAAAAUUUUGGGGAGAAAAUCACUCGGCGGUGGAAUUUCUGUCGAUGGUAUUGUACUUCCUGAGAGAAAGAACACAACUUCAACUUGGGCCAGUGCUGAUUUUUCAUCAACCUCCAGAUUAUCUGAAACCAAGUCAAGACUACCACUGCCCAAAAAUGUGGCCAGAAAAUCACUUGAUGGUGGAAAAUCGGUAGAUAGUGUGAUACUUCCUGAAAGAAAGAAAACAACUUCGACUUGGUCAUCGACUUCCAGGUUAUCUGAAACCAAGUCAAGGCAAUCAAUGACCAAAAAUGGGGCAAGAAAAUCACUUGAGGGUGGAAGUUCAGUAGAUUGUGUGGUAUUUUCUGAGAGAAAGAACACAACUUCAACAACACGGGCCAAGUCUGAGCUUUCAUCCACUUCCAGAUUACAUGAAGUUGAUUCAACUACCUUCUCGAAGCCUAAAUUGCCAGUAGAAUCUCCUAUCUUCCCAACUCCAGUGCAGAGAGAAAUUCCAAAUAAAAGGAAGAAGAAAUUGCUGUCUAGUCCGAAGCAGAGAGAAGUUCUCAAUGAGAGGAAGAAGAAAUUGCUGCCCAGUCCGAAGCAGAGAGAAGUUCUCAAUGAGAGGAAGAAGAAAUUGUUGGUUGAGCCGAGAACUUUGCCUACUUCAAGGUCAAGUACGAAAAAUUCCCUAAAGAACUUGAAGCCUGAAGCGUUCACAGCUACUAGAAGGCAAGAAGAUUCUGUGGUUCAAGUUUUUGCAAAAGCCAAAGGUAGAGAGUUACCUGAAAAGUCUGAUAAAAUUUUGAAACCAAAGUCUAUCAAGGUAAAGCCAUUGAGAUCUGCAGGGUCUUUGGACAACUCAAGAAAGAAAAGUUAUUCGAAAAUGGGCAAAUGUUUGGAGACAUCAAAAGGAGCUGCAAAGAAAGUGGUGGCAGCGUCAACAGGUUCAUAUUCCUCGAACUCUAUCCAUGGAGCUGCAAACUUAACCGCAAGAAAGCAUGUUGGUAACUUGAAAGGUGUCCCACUUAAAAAUCGUAACAUGAUCAAAAAAUCUGAACGUGGACAAGUCCAAAGUGAAGAGGUCCAAGAGAAAACCUUCCAGAGUGAAGAGGUCCAAGAGGAAACCUUCCAGAGUGAAGAGGUCCAAGAGAAAACCUUACAGAGUAAAGAGAUCCAAGAGAAAACCUUGUAUGUCAUUAAGAUAGAAAAUGAGAAAAUACCCCAGCAACCUGAUCAAGAUGAAACUAAUGACAACAUGGAAGCAGUGUCAUCAUUGCCACCUGAAUCGCUCUCACCACCAAUAUCCCCAGCUCUUUUGCCAAAUGUAGAAGAUCAAGAUGUAUCUGAAUACACAGAAAGUGAAGCAGAGAAUGACUUUUACUAUGAAGGAGAUGAAAUUGGAAGCAGUGAACCAGAAGAUAAUAUAACUUCAAGUGAAGGUAGUGAAAAUGGCAGAUCUCGAAAUCAUGGGAUUUUGCCAUCUAAAGAAAAGGAUCCUCGAUCUACAAAACUAAGUUUCAGGAGGGGAAGAGUUAUUGACAUCCAUUCUGAGAGUAAUAGUCCGAGAAGGCUUAAAUUUAGGCGUGGAAGGCUGUUGGGGGAGAAUCAAAAGGCUGGAGAUGGCCUUAGGAAGAACUUCAAGAGAGGAAAAGAAGUUGACAGUGAAACCAAUACCACAGCUCAAGAAACUGUUGUUUUGAGGCACCAAGAUGUGCAAGGGAAAAAAGAUGCGCAGGGCUUGUUCAACAAUGUUAUUGAAGAAACCGCAAGUAAACUCGUGGAAACUCGAAAGAGCAAGGUUAAGGCCUUGGUUGGUGCAUUUGAAACUGUGAUCUCCCUGCAAGAUGGAAAACCUUCUCUCGAGUCUUGACAUUGUCAAUUAUGACUGAGAAGUUGAGCUUGACUUAAGUAUCUAACUGAUCUGCAUAGAGUGGUAGGAAAUAAAGCUCAGGUUGAAAAAGACUACAUGAACUUGGCCAGCUGAGACUGCAGUAGCCAUAGAAAUAGAUUGCUGUUUUUAUUGAUAGGAAGGUUUCUGUACACAGUUAGAUAGUGUUUGAUUUUGUUUAUCUUUUUCUGGGUAAUCUUCUGCUCCUUAAUAACCACUCGUUUAUACUGAAUUGGCAUUAUUGAUUUGUGAGUUGCACAUAAAAUAAGGGUAGGCUCAUGACUUCAUGUAUUUUUUAUUGACAGUUAUCUGCCAACUUUGCAUCUUUUAAUUGUAAGUCGUGACUUUCUUUGGUUGUGAAGGAUUGACACCUUUUUUUCAUUCAUUGUGUAGUUGCUUAAUCCCCUAUAGUGGAAGGUUUCAGCAUCUCAAGCAAUCCUUGUUGAAUAAGAUUAAAAAGAAAAAAUCCCAUGUACUUCCUCAAAUCCAUGGCCAUGGAAUCAACAUCUAGAUAUAUAUUUGGUUUAAUAAAUAACUAGCAUAAGGUAGAAAACCUCAAUAAUAUUACACACUUCUUUUUUCUCAAGAAAGAGCAGUGAGAUUGGUUGCUUCAAAUUUUUGUGCUGAUGGCGUAAAGUAGUUUUUUGUAACCCCAAGAAUUAAUUAGAAAAAACCUUCCUAUGAUAAAAUUAGAGUUAACUUAAGCAAAUUGUUGAAAGGGAAAAUUUAUGGUAAACUCAAUUUGAAAUUUGGAAGCUUACUAGAUUGGAAAAUAUCUAAACAUUGGAAGAGGUGUGAAGCAACAUAUUUCAUAAUUAAAUACCAAUUCAAUUAUAAGAUUAGUACAAAUUUGAAAACAUUCAAACUUAAUUUAAAAUUGGAAAUUUCAAGACCUAAGAUUUUAUUUAUUUAUUUGAGACAGGGCUCGCCAGGUUAAGUGUGGUAAAAAUGAAUUUUUUGUAACCUCAUCAUAUCAUAAUUUUUAUUUUAUUUUAUAUUUUGUUCUAAAAUGCAAAUAACUUCAAUAUUUUUUGCUUAAAAGUUAUAGGUUUUUCCUAUUAGUAUUCAUUCAAGCAUACAAGAAAGAAAAUCAAAGAAAUAUUAUCAUUCCUUGUUUGGGAAACGUAUCAUGAAGUUGGGGUCUGGGCCCAAAUGGUGAUACAGUUUGAAGAAGAAGAAGAAAGGUAAACAACUAACUGCAACUUCAAGUAUAUAAAGCUUUCACCACAAACAUUUGAGAUAGCAGAAGAGUUACACAAAAUCAAUCUAAACAACAAAUGAAGCUAACAAUGGACGUUGAAAAGGCAACAACCUUUCAUAAUAGAUCACCAGACAUUCAUUCAACUGCCAUGAAUCUGAUCUAACAACUGGCUUUUGUCGAUAAAUAUCCCAUCGUCUUCGCCAUCUUUGCUACCUCUGUCUGUUUCUUUUUUCUUUUUUCUUUUUUUUUUCUUUUACUUUUACUACUGUGAAAACAAUAACACAAGCUCCAGAAAAAGCUUCUUCAACUGAUUCCAAGCUGUUAUUGGCAUCAGAACUUUGAAAAGGAAAAAUUUGCUAUCUUUAUGCACUCAAAAAUGGCGUCGAGAACUUCCACAAGUUCCGUUUAUAGUAUAACACAAACACACUUGUUUUGUGUUGCUUGUUCUCCAGCUUUCUUUUCUGCUCAGCCAAAGAAAAUAAACUUUCCAUCAGUAAUCCCAUUCGAACCUCAAUGUCUCAAUAGCCUUGCCUUCAAUAUGUAGCAACAGCUACAGCAGUUUUUUACAGACAUGUAUGGGACUGAUUCUACUAAAAUCGUUAAAACCACUUAUGCCAUAUUUCUAAUCACUUCCAAAAUAUAUCUUUAAUCACUCAAAAUUUAUUUAAUAUUUAAUUUUACACUUUUAAAUGCAAUUUUGAUAUCAUCAAAAUCGGUUUUGAAUGAUAAAGAGUAUAUUUCAAGGUGAGUUUAACCAUUUUAGAAUCUCUCUCAAACAUGUCCGUCAAUACUAAAGAAUAAUUGUCCUGACGAUAUGCUUCUUCCUAUCAUAUUUUCCACAUCCUUCGAGCAAAAUAAGAAUAAUUGAAUAUGCAUAUACUCAUAACAACGCAAAGACAUCUAGACACAUCUAUUAUAAAACCUUUGAAAGAUAAAAGCCAUUCAGCUGAACUCCAAAAGUUCUGAAUAGUUUUAUGUUCUAGAAGACAACUCUAAUGAACAGUCCAAAUAGCAGAUUCAUCCAAAUAAUUUUUUAUCCCUAUGAUUCAAAAAAGGUUAAAAUUUAGUCCUAGUGAUUUGAAAAGUUAUAAUUUAGUAAUGUCGUAAGUAGGCUAUAGGGUUGGAUUUAUGAAGGGUUUAUCAAAUCAUAGGGGCUAAAUUUUAAAUUACUACAAACCAAAGGGACCAAAUUUGCAAUUUAACCUUAAAUCAUUGUCAAACAAUUGAAGUGGAACAAAAGGAAACUUCAAAAUACAGCAAAAGAUAAUUCCAGACAAAUCCAAGUGAGAUGUCAAAAAAGCAACAUUCAUUCUAUCUUAAGUCAUUGAUAAUUUAAACUUUUAUCGGACAGAUUAUACCUUUCUCCAAAGUUGGUGGUUGGAUAACGACAUGCAUGGUUGUCACACUGCCAGGAAUGUCAUAUAAUGGGCUUCUGCAAUCAUUAAGUGUUCUAUUAUUCUCUAAGAUUUUUCCUGCACUUAUUAACUUCACAUCCUUAACUGUUCUUGGACCAUUCUCCUUUUCUGCUCAAACAAAUAACUGUGAUUACUCGUACCUCAGGAAAAGCAAUAAUAAUUGUGAUCACUCGUCCUACAUUUACAAUAGGAUGGUAAAAAAAAAAAAAGAAAAAGAAAAAAGAAGAAACAUUUUAAAAUCUAGCCAGUGUUAGUGCAGUAAACAUAUCCUCCUUAUUGCAUUAGCUAAUAUCGAAAUUCUCAUUAAUCUAUGGUGACAGUGUUGGGAGGACAAUGGAUAUGACACUAAACCGUAUUGAUAAAUGCUUCCGCAUGGUGGUAUUAGAAGAUUUACCGUCUCAGGGAAAAACAUAAUGAGUCUAUACUAUAUAUAAGCUAAUCAGAAUCACAGAUUCAAGCUAUAGUGAACAAGACACUAAGUCGUUCAGGUUCCGAGAGCAUAGACAAAGGAAUGUGAUGAAUACAAGAGGUUGAAAAGUAAUCAAAUGGAUGAACACAUCGGUAAGGGUAAAAGGCCUAGGAGAGGCCUCCUGAUCAAGUUCAAACCCAAGAGGCAUAAAUAUAUUGCAAGUUGAGACAAAAUAAAAAAGGAAAGAAAGGAGAAGAUCCAAAGUAAAUGGGAAACAAAUAGCAUUCUUCUAUUAAGAAUGUGAUCAGGUGACAAAGAAUCCAACAUUCUCUAAUAGAAUCUCUUUCAAAGAGGCAUAAAAUCUAAUCAAUAAGUUCAAGAUGCUUAUAGAAGAUCCAAAAUAAAACAGACAUCAUGGAUUUUUAUGCACCAGUACGGAUUGUUAAACGUUUUCCCCCGAUCAGGGUGUAAUGUCUCUUCGGAAAUGGCAACAAUAAGAACGAAGAAAAUGCAGAGUUCUACAUCAGAUCAGAGCUUUACUCGUGUUGUGUUUCGUCUAAAGAUUUUCUCUGAUUUUGAGUAAAUGACGAAACAGACGCCAAUAUGCUGAAAAUGUUUAAACUUAAAUAAUUCAAUUACAAACAAAGCUACAAGAUCAGCAUAGGAUAGGAUUUCAAGUAAAAUCAACCACCCCAAAAGCCAAAACUAAGAGAGAAGAGUUCAAAUUUCACGCACCUCUUGGCCAUUGUGCAAGAAUGCUUUCUUUUAAGGUUGCUACGCUUGUGGCAGCAGGGAAAGUUUUGGGGCCAAUAUCAGAUCCAUCGUUCAGUCGAAACUUGAUCUCCAACUGAUCUCCCACUCCAGCCAUAUUGACUUGUGUCUUCAAUCAAUCACAAACAAAUUGGAUUUCCCAAGAAAAGAAAUCAAAAAAAUCCCACCCGAGUAUUCGAAUGCGGUUAAUUAGCAGAAUUUUUUUCCCCUCAGACUCUCACAAGGGAGAUUCUGCAAAAAAGAGAGAAACCCAGAAAACAAAAGUCAAUUUCAUUGUAAGUUGUAAAUCAUAAAAGAAGAUGCAACAAUCAGAAGUAUGAAGCAGCUGCAUAUCGAAAAACAAAACGAACUUUAGAUUUCAAUCUUAUAUCUAGAAGGAAGAGAAAAAUAGCGACAAAAGCAAUCAAUCAGUUGCGUCUUCCAAAAGACUAGAUAUAUUCCAACAAACAAAUUCACUCAAAGAAUUCCUUUCUAUUUCUAAGACACAACAAGCAAGAAAAGAAAAAGAAUUACGAACACUGUUAAAGCUAAAGAGCAACGACUCAGGCUCGGCUAAAACACUUCCUGAUUUCAAGAUAUGGGUAGUUUCAGAAUCGCAAAAAGAAAUCGAUCCUCAAAACUAAAAUAAAAACAAAAGAAAAGAAAACACCCCAUAGAAAUUGAUUAACCUUAACCGCUAUGAACUCGGCUGAAAAAUUGAUCUGGGUACUUGUCUUUUUUCCCACAAACCUUGAUUCAGAGGUUGAAAGUGAAGAAAAAACAAAAGCUCUAUGAAUAAUAAUAAUACAAAAACCAGUUGAAGAGAUCAAAGAAGAACUCAGAGACGAGGCUCCUCCGGAGUUUUCAAAGUCUUCUAAAUCUGGGGUCAAUGACUCCAUUUCUUAAAAGUUGAUUUCUUGAUAUUCCCAAAAAUUAAAAUCGAUUACCCAAUCGUAAUAUUUACGCGUAUUUUAAACAGCUCCGAGGAAGUAGAAAACGCCACAAUUCAAACUUUCUAACAAAAAUACACAUUACCCAUUACCUAAAAACAUUGCAAGAUUUAUACUUUACUUCUAAAUUUAAUUAAUUUUCCCCCGUAAAUUCACCUCAAAGCUCAAAAAACACAAACCCAAAACAAAUCAUCCAUGUGAGUAAUAGAAAAGAAGAAAAGGUUUAGAGAUGAACUAAAGUGGAGGGUACCAAAUCAUUCAAGAAUAGACGUGGCAUAUAGGUAAAAGGGGGAUUGAUUAACAAGAACGAUUCCAAUAAAAUCAUGAAUAAAACUAUCUAAUAUCUUUCUAACGUUGUUAGAUGCUUCGCUUAGUUUGCUUUGGCCAUUAAUAAUUUAGGAGCCCUUUUAGAUUCCUCCGUUAGGCCUUGGAAGAAUCAAUCAAUUGGUUAUUUAAUGUGAGAUUAAGUGCAAUUAAUCCAUCAAUUCCAUCAUUUUAAUUACAAGAAGAUAAUGUUAAACAAAAGAAAAAUGCCAAGAGGGUCCAAAUCAAUCUCAAUGUGGCCAAUUUCUCUUCAAUCAGUUUUGUGGAAGAGAAUUUUAUUUGAAUUUUCUUUUCCUUUUUCAUCUAAUGUCUUUUUUUUUUGUUUUUGUUUGAGGCAACUAUUUCUUCACAAACUUUUGAGUGUUGUAUUGAUUUGAAUCUCUCAAACUUUGAGUGUUGUAUUGAUUUGAAUCUCUCAAAUUCUGUAAUAAAUUAGUGUGCACCCUUUACUAGUAUUUGUUUGAUCAAUAUCGUGUGAAGCUUAUGAAUGUGUGUAGACUUCUUCAAAUAUUGGUUUCAUAAAAUAGACGAUAUUAAAUAGAUGCAUGGAUAAUUCUGGAAGGAAAAUUCACCUAACUAUCUAUAUUGGUCAAUUCAUGAAAGUUUAAAGAUUUAAUUAAUACAUUACGUAAAGUUGUAUGAUAAAUUGAUAUAUUCACAAAAGUUCUAAAUUGACACACCUCCUAAGUUCAAAAACAUAAACCAAUAUUUUGUACUCAGUAAAAGUAGAUAUCUCAUGUGUCUAGUCAAACCAUGUCUGCUUUAGUUAUUACCCAACGUUAAUUCCUAUUGAAGACUCACUUUCUUGCACUAUGCUCCGUGUCUCAAUCCACUAACUCUGAGAAAUUAAUUAGUGAAAAUUUACUCAUCUUUCAAUAGAUAAUAAGGGCUCUAAACUACAUUAUUAAGUCUUGAAUUUGAAGUAUGAGGAAUUUAAAAGGGAAAAAGUGAACAUUUUAAGUGGCAUAAAAGCUUGGUGGGUUUCUUGUCAUCACCAACUUAGCAAGUUCUAUGAUAAGCAUCUUUAUUAUGUGCAUCGUUUAAUCUUAUCUUGUAGUGCUGUGUUUGAAGCAUCUAAAAACUAAUGGAGAUUCGAAUAACUCUGUUUACAGCUUUAAAGAAUAAAAAUAUUAACCAACCCAAUUAAGAGAAUCCACCUUAAUUUUGACAUUUAGACCUUCAUUACGUUAGGUACCCAAAAAAAAAAAAUGCUAUCUUGUAGUUUCCCUUUUUCAAAUGAUGAUAAUGGUAGAUGUGACAGAAUAGAAAGAAUUUUCUUCACAUUGUUAAAAAUAUAUCUGGUACAGAACGAAUCUAAAUAAAACAGAACCCAUCUAUGAAGAAUUCUCCAAUCCAAUGAACCAAUAGCCGUCAGGCCUUGUCCUCAAAGUCAUCAUAUAUUAUCAAAUACAAAAUAGAAAACAUGGUACUAUGAAAUAUAAAAGGAUGAAGGGCAGACAAUUAUUGUUCGGUGACCAACCAUAUGGAGAAGCACUCACCGAUGGACCUGUCCUAGCCUUGCUCGUGCCUCUGUAGAUAACAGCUAUGUGAUGGGAUGUUCGGUAUUGUAUGCAUUCUGCUAUAUUCCAAAAUAUACUCAUGAGAACCAAGGCGGUAUCCUCAGCAACUAAGACCAAAUGAAUUGCUACAUUACGAGUUGAUGAGAGAAUCCCAUGCUUAUGCAAACAUAAUGGUCUCAGUCGGGACACAGGCCAUACAGCAAUAUAACUCGAUCUAAAACAUUGCGUAAUGUGGCUCACCGUGUCAUGUAUGUAAAACUCCAAAUUUCUUUAGCCGAGUAGUAAUAGUUCCAGAGUAACAUAGUUUGGUUCGUUAUGGCGUUCUCUCUCUACCUUUUACCUCCUAUAGUUCGUGAAUUAUGACUCUAAAAUGUGGCAGUUCCUGAUGAAAUCAUUAGAAUAGUUGACAUACUUGGUCCAAAAUGGCCGGAGAUGCUCAAAGCCAAUCUGUAGCCAUGGUUUAGAUUGGCCAUUGUAGUGAAUAACUGCAGCUUUCUUCACAUUCUCAAUGUUUGUUUUGUUUUGAUAUCCCAAGCCAAGCAUGUGCCAUGAGGGGUCAAUUGGAUGAAUGUGACCUCUAAAUGCAAUUAAAGCAGGCGGUAGUGUACCCAGCCUCCACAAUGUCAGCGUUGACUUAAGAUUCUGCCACAUACAAAAGAAGCCAUUGAUCCCAGAUCAUCACAGAAUUGCAUCUUUAAUCUUUAGUGAAUAGAGACAAUCAUGCAAUCACCAAACAGAAUGAAUAGAAUGCCAUAUGGUAAAUGGGAUUGCCUACAAUAAGCAAUAGCAAACUCAAGAAAUUAAAUUAAUCCUACACUAAUAAUGAAUUUGCAGCAUACCUCUCUCAGCCACCAGUGGUAGGUUUCUGUUAUAUUCGACUCUCUCCAGACACGAAGAUCAAAUAUGUUCAUGCCGUAUGCCCAAGCACAUUCAUUAGGAUCUAAAUGCGUUGCUACGAGGGGGUGGGAAAAAUUAAAGUAGAUCUUGAAUCGCUUUGACAUAACCCACUCAUCAUCACCUUUACAAGUUUCAACAGCUCCAUUAACCUUUCCAUCGAGGUCAACGUCCCAAAGCGGAGACAGAUCACGUUGAAUUACAACAUCAUCAUCUAGAAAGACCACCUUGUCCAAUUUGGGGAAGAGCUGUACAUCAUAUGAAGAACGAUAAUUUUCAAAAUCUCAAGUGCAGUGACAACGAAAUAGGAACAAUUCAGGAGCAGAAAAAGACUACCACAUUGUACAAGUUCAUAUUUAAAUCCAAAAUGUUGAAAGAACGGAGUACUGACUUACUAGAUAUUCAUGUAAAAUAAUGUUUAUUAUCCAUAAUAUUCUUCAAAGGGCUUGGGGUUAGCCAUGGUAUUUAGACAAUAUUUCCAAGUAGACUUGAUCUAAGAAUAUGAAACCUAUAGAAUUGUCCCGGCAAGAAAAAUGGUCCCGCUAAUAUGCCCCUUAUUGAAAGUUCAAGGAAACCAUUUCUUGAUAUGUGUUACAAAUAGAUCUUUGAGGUUUUUGAUAAUCAUUAAUCAGAGUCAUGGAUAGUGAUAACUUAUAAUUUCAUUUCACAUAUAAAAUUGUCUGCUCGAAACCAAAACUGGUGAGUGAUGGUAAUGAUGCCAUUUAUAACUUGUUUCCAUGAGUUAUAUAUUUCAAAAAUAGACCACCAGAGAGAGGGAAAAAAGGGACUCCCCCCCUACAGCAUCGAGAUUACCUGAGGUAUGUACAUGCGGAGAUGGUUAAGUAAGGAUAUGUAUUUGGGACUUCGAACCAGCAAUUUUGAGGCAAACGCUCGAGGAGUUGUAUUGGUGUGGUUGGUCCCUACAAUAUUAUGAUUUCCAUGGUAGUAAUUUCUGAUUCCUUCCUGGUUUUCAACAGCCUCAAGCACUGGAACAUUGUCCCUUGUUAAGUAGUCGAAAUGGUGAGUGCCCUUAACUUCGACAGUAGCUGGGUAGACUGGAUUUAAAGCAAACCAUGAGUGCAUCCCUGCAUAAGUCUUCUUGUCGGUAAUGACAUGGAAAACUAUCUUUCCAGGACUGAGAGAUGAUUGGACAGCAGAAUUGACAACAACUGAAGCUGCCAAAAUGUUAUCAGUAGACAAAAUAAAGUGUUGGUAUGUAUUAUCAGAGAGCAACGGCAGUAACUCUGGAGGAGGCAGUUGAUUGCGUGCAUGAACAUUUGAUGAGUAUUCGUCAGUUAACCGCAGAGAUAAACAAUGAAUUCCUUUAGGAAUGGAACUAGCUGCGAAGUGUUUGUUCAUGAGCUCUGCAUAUUUGGACUCCCUUAUCUCCUUUUCAAAUCUCUCCAUCUGCGAAAAUAAUUUUUUUUUUAAAAACAAAAGAUCCCGCUGACCGAAGUACAAAACUUUUUAUGAAGGGCAAAAUUUUCAAAAAUGAAAUAAAUACAUACAAAUCGACUUGGCUGGUUUAUUAACUCUAACCUCCAUGAAAUUUCAUUAUCCUCUUUCUUUCUUUCUUUCUUUCUUCUUCCUUUUUUUUAUAAAAAAACAAAGAAAACUAUCCAUGAAAUUCCAUUAUCGUUCUCUCUCUCAAUCACUGACAGACACUGGGGAGCCUUAAUAUAACUAUUGGCUAAAGAUACACCAAAUCUUACUCCCCACUUCUGUAUAAUUUGCUUUUCUAAUACAAAGUUCCAAAUCCUAUCAAAGUAUUCUCUUUGAGAUCGUGUAUAAAUAGAAGUUUAUCUUUUCUUUUUGGAUGAAGAUAUAUAAAUAGAUAAUCAAUCUCGCAGAAGGCUCCAUCUUGGGAACACAAGUGGAUUCCAUCCCAAGAAAGUUGUUGAGUGAUAUGUACUGGAACUAAUCUCUUUGAAUUAUGGAUGAGUUGAAGAGAAAAUCUUUCAAAAUGCUCCACUGCCAAGUUAUACUUAAUAAGAGCUUUUCAGAAAAAUAAAAAAAUAAACAAAGGUCCGUACAAAAAGAUAAACUAGAUAGCAUAUGUAUUGGGUACUUUCAGGGUGAGUAACCAUUAAUUUAUUUUGAAAUUCCUUUUGGAUGAGGUCUAAACACAUUCAGUUUCUACAAGAUAUUUAACAAUAUUUAUUCUCUACAAGAUUUAUUCUCAAUAUUCUACAAGAUCUAAGCACAUAAUUAGUUAUUCAACAGUAUUUAUUCUCUACAAGAUUCUUGGAUUUUUCCUUCAGAAGAAAUUCUUUGUUCCUAUAGAGUCAGCUCAGAACAUUACACUCUCUUCUCUAACGGCAGACAAGGUUGGUAAAUAAAUCUGAUCAUUUCUUUUCAUGAUAUCCACUUAUUUCAUAACUUGAAGGUUUCCUUUCCUUUAUUUGGUCCCUGAUCACUUUGUGGUCUGCAAAAUUUCUUGAAGUCAUUAACAGUCCCCGUAUCGAAAGAAAUCCACAGAUAACGGUUUAAUUUGGAGCACCCUACCAACUCCAACCAAUUUCGAGAAAUCUGUUAAACAACCAUUGUUACUUUCUAACUCAAUAUUCGAAAGAAGGUUUUCAACUUCCUUCUAUCGAUUUUCCUUUUAUUUCCUAAGACCCAGUCUAAGUUGAGGAAUUCCAUAAAUGAAUGCUUUCACAUUUUCUUACAAAGGAUAUAAAAACCUAAGAACACCCAAGAUUUGGCAUCCUCUAGCUAAAAAAGAUCACAGAGAAAAUAUUGAUCAUGUCUUCAUGAUCAUUUAUUUUUAAAAGUGACAACCCACCUGACCCUACAACAUUUGAGUGUCAAGGAAACUCGUAGAAAAUUAAUUCCUAGGUAGGUGACUACCAUGUAUUGAACCCUUGACCAUAGCCAUUUAUUGAGACUAUGCCUCCUUUUUACCAUUGUGCCAAUCCAUGAUGGUUGGAUGUAUUCAUGCUCACAUACACAACAAUGAACAAUGAGGUUUCAACUUUCAAGAAGGGCAUGUUCCUCGAAAAGUUAACAUACUGUUGCAUAUCACAAAUAGAACUACUUAUUAAUGUAUAGCUUACAGUAAAGAAUUUUUGUUUCCUAUACAUGUCUUAGAUAAAGAAGUGAGGAUACCUAUAUUUCCUGGGUUACUCAAAUGCAUACCUAUUGAUAGACUAUAAGCCAUAAUCAACUUUUAUGAAAUGAGACUAUCGCAAACAAAAACUCCAGACUUUGGCAGGUUUGAGUGAAUUUAAUCCAAUCAUUCCAUUACACUUUUCACCUUAUGAGGCUUGGCAGGGCAUAAAAGUAUGAAUAAACUUGGGCCCCUGUUGACUUUUUUAUCUUUACCAUACAGUGAAAAUUGAAAAAAAUUAUAAACUUCACAUACCAUGGCCUUCAGGAUGAAAGCAAAUGUUUUUGCAUCAUGACGGUUGUCUUUCAUCUCUGAAACUAACUGACUAAAGGAAUCUGGCAACUUUAGACCAUCUGGUAUUUCCUCAGUGCUAACUUGGUUGAAUACCUUGUAAAAUUCACUCACCAAUCUCUGCUGCAUACGAUUGCCAAUUACAACAAUAAAGCUUUGUUUUCCAACAAAAGCAAAAUUUGAAACAGUCCAAAAAUUAAAUGCUAUAAAACAAAAAGGCCAUGGAAAGCAAAAUAAAAAAAGGAAUCCGGUAAUCACCUUUGAAGCAUCAACCCUACCAAGAAGGCGAGGUCCCCAUGUCCUGCCAAAACAAUCUAGCAACAAAAAAGAAGGGAACUAAGGACACAGAUUACUAUAAUUAAUAGAAAUGAAUGGUGAAAUGCCAAUUACAAACUUUAAAGUUUUGUUCAAAAUGGUCACGGUUUCUAUUCCCCAAAAUGUCAUUUCCUGUUUUAAUUAAAAGCCUCGUAGUUCCAUCUAACCAGUUAGGCUUCUUUAUAUAUAUAUAAGCCUCAUAUUUUUAGAAUAAAAUGAUUAUGUAGCUUAUAUGAAUACAACCCUAUGUUCUCAAAUGAGAUUAAGGAUUAAUUCAAAAAGUUGCUUAAGUUUGUAUAAUGUUUAAGCUAUUUUUUUGCACUUUGCUCUCAACUGUCUUCUCCUUGCUCAUUGUGUUUGCAGUUUGCACUGCACUAGCUCAGACAAGCCAGACCAAAUUUUCUUAUUUUGGUAGCUAAUCAUCAGAAUCUAAGGGUCAUUUGCAUCACUGAGAGACCUCAUGGAAAUAGUAAUGCAGAUUAAUGUACACAAGAAAACUUAGCCUCAAUAUAGCCUAGAUAAGAAUUUGACCCCAAAAUAUACAAAAUACAAAACAAAACUUUAUAAAAAAAAUAAUAAAUUGGAUUCGUCAUCCACGGUCAUCUCUAAUAAAAUAAAACAAAAAAAAUCAAUCAGCUUCUCCAGUGGACUCUGAAAUGACCAACAUCAUGAUAUAAAACUUUCAUAAUUGCACACCCAAAAAGCAGAUAAGAUCCAUCACAGUCAAGUUAAAAAGACAUCACUAACACAUAAACCAACACCAGAAAAACAAAUUUGUAAAUAGAAACAGUAAUAAGUUCAUUGACAGUACCCAGAGAGGAGCAGUCAUUGACACCUUCAAGCGUAACGACAGCAGUGAGAAUGAAGACGAAUGGCAACAAGAAAGCGAGUACGAGAAUGGUAUGAAAAAGGGUUCGAUAAGAAAUGUGACGAGCUGCAACUUUGAUCUUCAUAAAGUCAAUAAACCCAUUACUACUCGAGACCGUGAUGCUUCUCAUGCUAGGCGAAAAAUGAAGCCGCAUCGUCUUCUCCGCACCUUCUUCUUCAGGUCGCCACUUUUACCUGAAAUAAUCACUACCCAAAUAGCGCCAUCGAAUCUCCUCCCUCGUGGAACCACCUCCAGCAGUCUUAAACUACUGCCCAUCAAUCGAUCGACCGACAACCCAUUACGCAAAAACCCACAUUCAGACCCAAAUUGGGAUUGCUUCAGAUUGAUUUUUUUUUUCUUCUGUUUGUGGGUUGUUCUUAAAUACCGCAAUGAGCAAGAACGAAGAGAUUCCAAUUGGGUUUAGGCUAGAAAUUGGUGAAUAAUUCUCACCCAAUAAUCGAAAAUGUUGAAGAAAAUUGUGAGGCUUUCAAAUCCCAUCACUCUAGAAGAGCAUUUUGUGGGGGAAUCAUCAUCAGUUCGAUCUAAAACAAUUCAUGUUGUGGGGAAUGAAUGAAUGAAUGAGAUAAAGUAAGGAUCUGAAAUAAGAGAGCUAGGUUUGGUGUAAUGCAAUUAAAGGAACAAUUUUUCUGGUAAGCGGAGAUUUUCAUUUAUGUAUUAUUUUUGUAAUAUUAUAAGUUUGAUUGAUUUAUUUCUUCGAAUUAUUUUAGUUGUAAUAUUGUUAUCUCUAUUCUUUACGUUUUCUUUUUUUAUAUUUAUAAUUUCUAAUUAGAUGAAGUGAAAUUGAGUUAACAUAAUUUUUUUUUUAAUUACAUUAAAUCUUUUUUUUUAUAGAAUUAAUUCAUAUUUAGAUUUUUGCAAUUUUUUAGUUAAAUAAUAUUUAAGGACUAUUUUCAAAUAUAGUAAAAAUUUUAAAAAUAUUUAAAAAUAUGUUAUAUUUGUAAAUAAUUUUAAAAUUUUAACAUUUAAAACAAUUUUCCACAAAUUGAAUAGAGAAGUUAGAAAUUGAUGACAAAGAAUUGGUUAGUCUUAUUAGGUAAAAUCCAUGCUAAACAGAGAAAUAAUGUUUUUGAUGUGAAUCACUAAUUAGUUUAUAAUUUAUCUUUAAUUGGUUUGGUAGAAUUUAUUUAGGAGAAUUUUAUCUGACCAUAAAAACCAUUUAUGAGAAUUUUUCAAAUUUCGACAAACAUAUGAGUACUAAUUUCUAACUUCGUUUUAGGUGACUUCUUACAUCGAGGUUAGAGGUUUAAUCUCACACUUAGCGGUAGUCAAUGAAAUUAAUCGUACUCCAUUUAUAUGUAUAAAAAUAUAUAAUACUUCAAUCCUAAGAAUCCAAAGGAGACAGAGAACUUUAAAGUCUCAACUUUUUAAGGAUCUCUUUCUUUGUUUAAAAAUUUAGUUAAGGCUCUACUCAAUAAACAAGAUAGAUCGGCCCUUUCCAAAAGAAAAAUUGUUUGAUCCAAGGACUAAGAGACCUAAGUUUCACAUUUUAACCUUUCAACCUUUGACAAAUUUGUCAAAAAUUAUAAUACUACAAAACAUCAUAGUUUCAUUGUCCACACACAUAUAUUAUGUUAUAUUAUGUAAGUGUAUAUAUUUAUAUUUCCAGAUCUUACAAAUUGGGGACGGUGGUGGCUCUUUUAGCACAAAUUGGGGACGGAGAUGGAGGUUGGGGUGUAAAUUUGAACCAUGAACCUCUUCGUUUGCUUCACUACAUAUAUGUUGCAAAGAAAUGACAAACCAAAACGAUGAAACAAAUAGAAAGUGAGGCUUCAUUUACACAACAACACUGGCAAGUUAGUGGUCUAAGAAGGUAUUCUUCUUACAAGAAACCAAAUAAGCCUCUUGUAUUUGAUAUCAAAACAAGACAGAUAAUCAGAAACCAGAUGAUCAUACCACAACCAAUAAAGAUUUUGAAAUCUAGAAAACAAAAAGGUUAACAAAUUGGUUAAGGUUUUACAUACUCAUCCCAAAAUUUUCAGAGACUUCCUGUUCUUCAUCAAAUCAGCUUUGUUCUCCAUCUUCAAAGGUAAAGGAGCAGUGAAUGCAGAAACGCCAUUGUUACCAGUCAUCAUCUUCCUUCUAUGGUUUCUUUCUCCAUCACUGACCUCUGGAGAUUCGCCAUCUACUUCUUCAUCUCCAUGUCCUUCUUCAUCAUCCUCGGCUUCCUCAGAAAAUUCCUUAAUCUCCAUUGCUUCGUUGCAAGUAUCCUCCACAAGUUCAUCACCUGAAUCUCUUUCAUCCAUAACACCAUAAUCUUCAUGUGGAUUCUUGCUACUUAAAACUCUAGAUAAGUCUCCAUUCUCAGCAAAUCUAACACUUUUCUUCACUCUAGGUUGAAGAAUUUGAUGGUUUUUCACAAGGUUUCGAUUUCGAGUUUGAUUCUUCUCUUUGAUAGUGAUCCUAGGGGACUCCUCCAACUCUUCCUCCUCUUCUUUCACAUUAUUCUCAAGAAUUCUUGAACGCUCACAAAUCUUUUCAACUCUGUUCUUUAAUUUCUCAAUAGUUUCCUUAUGAUUCUCAUAGCAUUUAUGCUUAGGAUUAGAAGGAACCCUAAAUUUACUAACAUUUUGACCUAACCUCAGAUUUGGAAGCCCGUUUCUCUUCUUCACAGCAAAAUUAUCAAUUCGCUCCAAGAACUGAACCAAGUCUCUGAUAAGGUUCUUCUUGCUGUCUUUGACCAUUGGAUCACUACCCUGUGAAGAUCAUUGAAAAAAAUCAAAUACAAUAAAAGUAAAACAAUAAAAAGCACCCACCAAACUUAAAUUACCUGAAUGGAAUCGAGAUGGAGAAGAAAAUCCAUUAUUUCGAGAGAAAUGGCGUUACGAUCGAAGUACAAUCCAUUGGAAAACGACGAUUGUAGAGACUCAUAUCUAGACUUGAUGAUGGCGAGAUCUUUAAGCUCACUGAAAGCUCUGGAUCUACGAACAAGGAAAGCUCGAAAAUGGGUUUGGAUUGUACUGGCAGCAACAUGGCGGAGAGAUUGGGAAGGAAGAUGAGAAGCAAAAACACGAGGGAGGGAGGAUUCAAGAGCUUCGAUGCGGGAGAGAAGAGAAGAGACAGUAGAAUGGUGAAGGACUUGAGGAAUUUCUUGUUUCUUCUGAUUUUGGGGACCGAGAAACUGAUAAUGUGAUUGAAACGACUUUUGGGAACGGAGAGUUGGGUAUUGGUGAAAUUGGGCGGAUUGAAGGAUUUGAGAAGCAAGAGCUUGAAGAAGAGGGUCGGACGGAGACACCGGGAGGUGAGGAGAGGGGUGGUGAGUUUGGAAACAGGUAGUGGUGAAAUCCCCGCCGCCGCCACCGCCGCAGCAACAGGCGAAGGGAAGAUGGGUUUGGUGGAAAUGGGGUUGAUGGGGUUGAUGGGGAUGGUGAUGAGAGGCCAUUGGAGGCUUGAAGAUUGAAUCUUGAAGCUUAAUCGCUGAAUAGGGAUGGGGAUUCUUCGAGGGUUUGGAGAAAAUGGUGGUUUUGGAAGUGAAGAACAGGAAAAGAGUGCUACCACGAUCGAUGUGUCAAAAAGGGGCUUCGAUUUUGGCGAACUUUUUGUUUUUCUUUUUCUCAAGGCAACAAAAACAAUCCAAUCUUUAUACAAUUAGUUUUCAUGUCUAUUUGUUAAUUGAAGUUUUAGAAUGAAGAUUUGAUGAUAAAAUUUAAUAGAUUUUUAUAUAUAACUAUAUAAACACCAUAGAAUUGAAGAACUUAACCUAUACUAAAUUUGUUGUAAAAGUUACACUCAAUUAACAUCUACGUAUGCUAAAAUUAUGAGAUCUAUAAUUUAAAUUUGAUGCUAGUUGCAAUUACAUGAUUUGAAAAGUCCAUUUUUAGUACAACAAUUUAGUUGAUUCUACUAUUCUAUUAUUUGGAUAGUUCAUUUAUCUAUUAGUCUUUAUAUCAUUUUUCAACUUUAAGAGAAAUAAUGCAUUUUACUUAUCUAGACUCUCGUUUAUUUUUUUAAUAGCAUGGCAUAAACAUUUUAAACAAACAAUUUAAAUACUAUUUUUUCUAAACAAGUAGUAACUCAAAAUAAUGGAACAUGUUCUUUCCAAAACACCUCAAACUAAAGUCUUCUUUACAAAUAGCAAUCACAUAAUGUAUUUUACAAACAAAAAAUGCAAAAGUACACAAUAAGCAACAAAAAGAAUCAUUAACAAAAGUUUGAAGUACAAAAAAGAUAAUAUUUGCUCAUUUAAAAGUAUUUUUCACUAAAGAAUGUACUAAAAAUGUUGUGCCACUAAAAGAUAUGAGUAAAUAAGAUGUCUCCAAAAUCUUGGUCCUAAACAUUCAUGUCUUUAAUCAAAUAGAACACUUGAAUGAGGUCGACAAUAGUUAUAUCAUUCAAGAGACUAAUCACUUCCAAACAGUCAUAUUCUACCAUGACUUUCUCAAAAUGGGACAUUGAGAUAAUUGCAAGUCUCUUGUUUAAAUCAUAACUUCACUGUACUUGAUCAUGAGUCUUACAAUCGUUGAAACAUUCGUUUGGAUUUGAUCUUUAGUACUUCUAGAUACUUGAUUUUCUCUCAUAUUUUCUAAAAGCACACUUACUAGAUAUUUACACUAAAGUAAGUACACAACGUAACCAUAAAUUACAAGUUUGGCUUCUAAACCCUAAGUUCCAUAGCUUUUAUAUAACAUUCUCCUAGACAAUAUAUCAUCUAGUCUAUUUAAUCUCUACAUUUUAAAAGGUUUAAAUAAAAUUUUAACUUUCAUUUUAUAUAAGCUUUCAAGUACAUCAAAUUGGAAUAGAGAUUCAAACUAUCGACUCUAAUGAAUGUAGUUUAUGUCAAUUUCAGUCAAGUAUGUUUACUUUUGUAUAUGUUAUUGUCAUUAACUUAUUGUUUUUUUAGCUUAACAUGGAAUGGAGGCUUCAAACUAAAAUGUCUAAACCAACUAAUCAUGUAACUUAUAAAACAAUUAACAUAAGAUGCAAAAUUAACCAAAAGUGAGUUUAGCUUAACAGUAGUUUGGCAUGAUAUUUCAUUCUAGAAUCCGAAAAUUGUUGCCCUAAAAAAUAUUAGAUUGAAGACUGCAUUCAACUAGAAAUCUAUAUGUGUGGUAAAGUCGUUGGUUCAAGUGUUAAGUGUUGGUACGAGUUUGAACUUUUAAAAGUAUUGAGACUAAGGUUUAUAGUUAGAUGGAGAUAGAAUAAGGAAAAGGAGACUUUUGUAAUAGCGCAACUCAUGAUUGGGCCAUUGUCACAACGGUUGUUAAGAGAGUAAGUUAAAUCCAUCAAAACCAAAGCUCCACUGGAGUUAAUCCAACGGUCAUCAAACUGAACAUAUUUUCAAAUUUUAAUCUAACGGCCCACAAAUACUAGCCGUUACACAGAGCGUUUUCUUCUCAACGUUCCAUUUUUCCCCAUCUUCGUUUCGAAUAUAUCCUUUCCAUUCAAAUCUCUUUCGUUUCUGAAGAAUCGACCCCCCUCUCCUCCCCCUCCCCUUCACCGGCGGCGAAAAUUUCUACCCAUUUUCUGAUCUGUCUUUUAGUUUCCGGCAGAUGGGUUCAAUCGGCAAGAACGGUGGAACAGUGACCCCUGUGAAAGAAUCAACGGGAUCUAGAUCGAAGAUGAUUCAAGAAGUUUCAAGGCAUUCCGAGAAUAUGAAUCCAAAUGUUAAUGAUACGAUUAGCCCAGUUCCGAAGCUCUCGAAAUCUUCUCCUUUGAUAAAAUCUACAAAGACGGUUCAGAAAUCGGCUGCGAGAAACCCUAGUGUGGUUUUGAACUCACCGAAGUACAAGAUCCGGGAGAGGAAGUUUGUGGUGGCGAAGAAGAAUCAAAAGAAGGAGAAAACUGGGAAGUCUAAGACUGAUUGUAAGUGUGAUGUUGGAAAUGGGAGUGAUUCGAAGAAGUGUUUGUGUUUGGCUUAUGAGACUCUGAGAGCUUCUCAGGAGGAGUUUUUCAAGAAUCAGAAUGGUGGGAUUGGGGAAAUUAGGGCUGAGAUUGAACUUGAAGAAGAAAUGGAGAGGAAAUUGAUGAUUCAAGACCUUCAAAAUGAAGAAGGGAUUGAAACAGAGAAUCAUGAUGUUAAUGGAGAGAGCGAAUCUCCUGAACAAGUAAGUAGUUCGAUAAUCAAGAGGCGAAGAGAAAGGCUGUUGGAGACAGCAAGGAAUAGUGUCCCAGAAACAGGAUCUGGGAAAGUAAAGCAUUUGGUACUGGCGUUUGAGAAACUAAGAACUAUACAGGUUGCAAAGGAGGAGACUGAUGAGAAUGAGGAGAAGCAAUUAGAAAACCAAGAUAAGCCCAUUGAAGAGAAGAGCAAGGUGAUGAAAUGGGCACUGCCAGGAUUACCUCCUCCAAAGGUUAUCGAAUCAUCUUCUUCGUUUUGUCCGUCUGAGCUUUUUCUGACAUCGGAAAAUCUCGGUUUGGAUUCUCGAGCUUCGGUUUCUUCUUCUUGGGACGGAUCCCGUGGAAGGUCGGUACCUUAGUUACUUUUACCGCAGUAGUGUAUAUUUGAAGAAAAUGAAUCCAUUGUGUUAUUAUUGUCUAACUUUUGUUGUUUUCUUUCAAACUUCAGCAUUUCAAGCAGGAAUGGGGGAAGAAGAAGCAGAAGAAAUGUAAGUGAAGACUUUUGUGUGAAGAUCAUUGCUAAUGAAAUGUUGAAUGAACUGAUUGAUAAUUGUAAUGAUUGUUGUGAAUUUCAGAGCGCUGAAUCUGCAGGCACAAUUGGUGGAAGUAAAUGGAAGAAAAAGCAGCUGAAAGUCACUAGGCAGAAGCCAUUUAAGCUUAGAACAGAGGUAAAGAAAAUGGGAAUUAUUGGAAUGCAUUAAAUCUGUUAUCUGCCCUUCAAAUGUAUUUGUGUUCUUUGCCCUUCAAAUGUGUAGACUACUGUGCUAUAUAAUUAUAAACUCCUUGACUGUAUAAAAUCUCUUGCAGUCUUAGCUAAUACAUUAUUAGUAGCCACGUAAAUCUAUGUAUUGAGUCUUUAUUGUUUAAGCUGUAUAUCUUUAUUUGUCAAUUUCAUGACAAGAAUGAAUCGUGAAAGUUUCAGCUUAAUGAACAAAUUCACAAUGUUUGCUUUCCAUGUUUCUUUUUGAAUUUGCAGCAAAGAGGAAAGGAGAAGGAAGAAGAAUUUCUGAAGAGGGUACAAGAAACAAUGAUAGAGGAAGAAAAACAGAGAAUACCAAUUGCUCAAGGUCUUCCAUGGACAACUGAUGAACCAGAGGUAAAAAGAUACCCUAUUCACAUAUAACGCUUUUUCAUGUUUUUUUCUAAACUUCAGCUCUUGAACCCCACUAAUGCUUUAAAAAAUGUACAUGUCCAUUUGCGCAGUGCGUUGUGAAACCUCCAGUGAAGGAAAUUACAAGACCAGUAGAUCUGGUUCUCCACAGUGAUGUAAGGGCAGUAGAACGUGCCGAGUUCGACCAUCAGGUGGAUCUCAGAAAGAAUUUUCUAUUAGUUCCUUAUGAAAAGUUAAUAUGAUAGUCAUGGCCUGCAACCCAUUUAAUCAUCCAUGUUUGUUUUUGUAAAUGAAGGUAGCAGAGAAAUUGUCUGUGAUAGAACAAUACAAGAUGGAAAGAGAGAAGCAAGAAAAGGUAAAGAAAAAAAAAUUGAAAUGACUAUCAAUUCAAUUGAUAUUGUAUGUUGAUUUGUUUGGUUUUUUUGUGAUCAAUUAACAGAUGGCUGAGGAGGAAGAACUAAAGAGGUUGAGAAAGGAAUUGGUUCCGAAGGCACAACCAAUGCCUUAUUUUGACAGACCCUUCAUUCCUAGAAGGUACACACAUACAUACACCAAAAAGUGGUUUAAGUUUCAAUUUCACUUGAGAAACAAAAUGUCAUAAAGGUGUUUUAAUUUUUUGUGUUAUUAAAAAGGUCAGGAAAGCUUCCAACAAUACCUAAGGAACCAAAGUUCCAUAUCCCACAACAGAAGAAGAUAAAGUCCUGCUUGUCAUGGAAUGAUAUGAGCCAAUAUACCUUUCAGUUUCAACCAUGACGAAGAAGAAGAAGAAGAAGAAGAGAGGUUGAAGAAACAAUUAUGGGUUAAAAUUCUGUGACAUAGUGUUUCCCAUUGUCUCUGUCUCUCUCUCUCUGAAUAAGCAAAAUAAUGGGGUUUAGUUUUGUUGGGUUAAUAUUUUUCUGAUGAUUGUAUUCUUUGUGAAAGCCGCUGAUAUAUAAUGAAUGACAAAUGAGGCAACCGAUUAUAGUUGCUCAGAAUACUAUGUCGAAUCUUCUCUCCCUCUCCAAGUAACAAAAGAAGAAUGAUAGAAUUCUUUGUUACUAAAUCCAAAACAAAAAUGGAGCAAAUUUUUAGUGAUAUACAGUAAUGAAAAACUUCUAUUUAUUGGAUUGCUGCUGGAAGGGACUUUUUUUAAGGAUUACAUGGAUUAAUUAUUAGUGUUUACCUAAUAAAUAUUUAAUAAUUGAUAAAUUAUUGAAUAACGUAUCAAAUAAUCAAUCAAUAAAGAUGGAUUAUGUAUCAAAUAAUCAAUAAAGAUGGUUUGUGUACUCCUGUAACGCUAGAAAUUAUAUCAUAUCUUACAUCCAGCAAAUCCAGAAAUUAUGUCAUAUUACCAUCCAGCAAAUCCAAAUAUCGAACCCAUUCCUUUCAAAGAAAAAAUAUUGUUGAUGAUUAUAUUACUCAUAAUUUUUAGAAAAAUAAGCCUACAACUAUUGUUGAUCCCAUUUAAGAAUGAAAAGUCUAGAUAGAGUUCUUCAUUAAAUAUACAAAAUUCUUCUAUAUACACAAAAUUCUUCUAUAAAUGGGUAAAUUUUAAUGAUAAAUGUAAAAAGUUGAUUAAUAUAAGUUACUUAAAACGACUUUUGUAAAUAGUUUGGGAACAAAAACCAAACGUUAUGGGUUUCCAGCUCCAAUUCUUUAAAAGAAAUACAUAUGAAAUUACGUGAAUAACAUAUUAAAAAUUGUUUAGAAGUUCAAAUAACAGCCAUCAAUUCCAUAAUUCAUAAUCUAAAUCCCCUAUUACUUCACAACAUUCUCAUUAUUAAUUUUAUAAUUUCUUUUAAUCAUCGAUUUGAUGUUAACUUCUGAUAUGAUGUAUUAAAAAAAAUGAAAAAACAUCGAGUAGGCAGCAAACAGCAAACUCUAUUGAUAAUUGAUAUGAUAUGUCAAAAAAUUACUACAAAAGGUCCGUUUCUAAGCAUCAACCACGCCACUGCUGAUAGCAUUGAAGAAAAAAAACAUAUUUCAUCCUAAGAACUCAUAAAUAAUUG
rnacentral:lncRNA from 1 species